AGAAAUUGUUGUUUCCAUCACGCUGCAUGAAACUCAUAUGGAUUAGAGAUAGCAUUGAGUUGCAACAGCAAAAAGAGGAACUUUUCUAUGGAUUGAAACACCUGGGCGUUCACUCAUAUCCAAAUCCUCUCCUUUUGCUCCAUUAGGCAAUUCCCAGUCAAAUUUCUGAACAAUAUUUGCCAGAACAAGUUCGUUAGUUGCCAUAGCGAAUGAGAUUCCUGGACAACCUCUUCGACCAGCCCCAAACGGAAUCAACUGGAAAUCAAGUCCUUUGAAAUCUAUGGACGAAUUUAAGAAUCUCUCCGGCUGAAACUUCUGUGGUUCUUUCCAGUAAAGAGGGUCUUGGCCAAUGGCCCAUGCAUUGGUCAUGACCAUUGUACCUGCUGCAAUGUCAUAGCCCAUUACCUUGACAUCUUCUCUUGCUUCCCGAGGAACCAGUAGUGGGAUUGGGGUGUGAAAUCUUAGAGUUUCCUUCACUACAGCUUUCAAAUAAUGCAUUUUCUCCAAGUCGGCAUCUGUUAUGUCAUGUUUGCCAUUGAGAACUCCCCUCACCUCAUUUUGCAACUUUUUCAUGACUAUUGGGUGCCUUAAGAGUUCUGUCAUUGCCCACUCUAGAACUGUGGAUGUGGUAUCAGUUCCAGCAGCAAACACAUCCUGAAAUAAUCCAGAAAGUUAAAAAACUUAAGGCUAAGAAAAUUAAUAGUCACUUAUUUCGGACGAAAUGAUUCGAUCGAAGUAGACGGAAGUCUUGACUUCAAAGUCUAUUACCACCUAGGAAGCUAUGCUCGUGUCAAACCUCUGAGGGUCUUAAGCACGAGAAACUUGUAUGUAUAUGUUUCUUUCAAUGACAGUUUUAGCUUUUAAAUGAAGUUGUUCAAUUUUAUUACAGUUAUACGGGAGGGAGGGGUGCUUACCAAAAUUAUGGCUUUGAUACCAUCUCUAUCAAUGGAUACACCAGUGGCAUUGUCCUGGUAAAUCUUAAGCAGAAUAUCUACAAAAUUCUCUUUACUUUCAUCCUUUCCGCUUGAAUUUUCCAUAUCCCAGUGUUCUUGAAUCACUCCUUCAAGAAACUCAUCUAGUUCUUUAGCAACAAAAUCUACUCUGGCAUCGAAACCAUUAACACGAUUAAUCCACGCCAGCCAUGGAAUGAAUUCCCCAACACUGAUAGUCCCCAAAAGUCCCAAAAAUUCAGUAAUCAGCUGCAGAAAUUUCUCCCCUGUCGCCCCGUCCCUGUAUUUCCUACCGAAAGCCGACCUACAAACAACGUCGUUUGUGAUUGCCGUAAACAAAUCACUCAUAUUCAAUGGCGAUGAAGAUAGACACGAUUCCUUAAUUUUUUCCAUCAUCAAGGCCGUUUCUUCUUCCCUUAUAGCAUGGAAUGAUUGUACCUGUUAUGGACAGAAAUGCACUGUUAGAAAAUCUUAUCAAGUCACUCCAAGCAAUUCUAAACGCUUUUUAAGUACUCUCAGUUUUGAUGCACUGUUGAGCAUCUUUGGCCUAGAAUAACGUCGUUUUUGCUUAUUUCCGGCAGUAUCAAGAGUGGUAUUGCCGAAAUAAACAGCUUCUUGUACAAAAGGAGCAAGGGUCAAUCAUGCUCUAAAAGGGGCACGGGAAUUGUAACAGUACCCGUUUGUUACUCAGAAGCUGGAGUACAAAUAUGCUUUUCAAUUGCCUCCAGUAUUCUCCAUAUGGAGCAACUGACAAAUCCUUCAUGUCGUAAAGAAGCCGCCUGGAAACGCUAGAGUCAGGCCUGUCAGCGAAAAUGACAUCAUGGGUUUUCAUAAUUUCCCUGGCGGCGUCCGCCGAUGAAACGAUAAGCGUCGGAACAUUUCCAAAGUGGAGAAGCAUUAACGGGCCGUAUUUUUUGGACAUGGAUUGAAGGGAAUGGUGUGGGAGCGUGCCGAUUUGGUGGAGAUUUCCGAUAAUCGGGAGUUUCGGCGGCGAUGGCGGCAGAUUUUUGCUGUUUGUAGUGGCCGCCACCCUUUUGACGAAUUGCCAUACAAGAAAUAUACUGAUAAAAGUGAAUAUAAAUGGAUUUUGUAAAAGAAAUUCAGCCAUUUGGUGCUUAAAACUAAACAUACUUUCUGAUUGUCUGGACUCUGUUUUCUGUCCCUAAACUGGACGAGGCUCUUCUAUAUAUACAGACAGGAAUGUGCGUAAUGAGACUGCAUGCUUGCUUUGUAUACACUCUUACAAUAUUUUAACCUUUUUUUACACAAUUUUUCAAUUAAACAUUUAUCAAAAUCUAUUAAAAAAAUCUGGUUUUAAUUCAAACCAAACAAAGACUUAAUAUGCCUUUUAAACCUAUUUUAUUUAGAUUGUUUUGAUGUAAUUUUUUUUCUUUAAAAGUAAAAUUUGAAUAAUGUGCGAUUAAAACGAAAAAAAAGAAAAAAAAUUAUGAAUUUAUUGCAAAAUUAUUUUAUUGUGAGAAUGUGUCGUAAAAAAUGAUUAUUAAUUAUAAUAGGUGCCCAAUUUAACUUAUUCUAUUGGGGUCAAGCCCCCACUUAAAAAUGUCUACACGUAUUUAUGAAAAAAUUGUCGUUUGAUGUGUAUGUUAAGUGAUAAAAGAUGAAUAAAUAGAUAUUUGGGCUAAUAGUUUAAUUACACUCAGGCAUGACUUGUAAACAUCGAAGGACAAGUCUAUUUAUACAAUUAUUUUGUACAAUAUUAUUGACGGUGUUGAAGUUGUCAAAAAAAUAUUGGUCGAAAAGAUGAAUUAUUUUUAAAAUUGUCCAAUGUGGCAUAUUGUCAAUAAUGUUGUCAAAAUCAUUAUACAUCAAGCAUGAUUGAACAUCGAAUUGGUGAAUGGCAAUAGAAAUUAAUUUAUCUGAAAAAGUAAGAUCACUUAUUUUCAAUCACAUAUUUUUGUUAGAUUCCAUUUCUUCUACGAAAAUAUCUUUAUUAGAAAAUUCUCUUACAAAAGGAAGAAAAACUAUGUAAAUUAAUAUUUAUAUAACUUACAAUUUUUUCAAACUUUGUCCAACUAACUAUUUAAGAUUUCGAGUUAGUUCCUGUUCGGUUUUGUUAUUACAUUUUUAUUUGGUUUUGAUAAAGUUUGGACUUGUUAAAAUUAAUUUUUGACUUUAAUUUAAUUUUUUAUUAAUUUUCUAAAAGUAAAUUAAACAUGGACUUAUCAUAGAAAGAUAAGUUCAUUUAUUUAAAUUUCAUCAUCCACACGACCUCCUCUAUUAUUAUUAUUAUUAUUAUUACUACUACUGCUGCUGCUUAUGCUACUAUUAUCGUCGUUGUUAUUAUUAUUUGUAUCAAAGAUCUACACAAUUUUUAUAACAAGAAAAUGAUAUUAUGCUUAAUUCUAUUCUUUAAAAACUCAAAUUAUCAAGAACGAAAUCGUCCAAUUUCUUGAAAAGACAAUAUGUAAAAAGAAAGUAGCUAUAGCUUCUUAAGAGUCCAUUAUCAAUUAAUAUUUUCCUUAUUUAACCAAACUAUUAAUUCAUCCAGAAGUAAUGACGAAUGAAUGGAUAGUAACACGCAAAGAGUCCUCUACGUCUAUUACAAUGGAACUAGUCCAUACUUGAUUGCAUUUGAUUAAUAUUAAUAUUAAUAUUUUUAUUUUUAUCAUUAUCGGAUAAGUCGAAAUUGUGGUUUAAAAUCCAAGCUUCCCUACCUCUUCUAUUUAAAGAGUGUUUGUACAGCACCCUUUAAAUAAUGAUAAAAAUAAAAAAUAUUAAUAUUAAUAUUUUUAUCUUAUCGGAUAAGUCGAAAUUGUGGUUUAAAAUCCAAGCUUCCCUCCCUCUCCUACAGUCGAAAUUGUGUUGUACAAUGCUGACAGCCGCAGUAUGGGGAUUCGAUUCCUGAGACAUGAAAUUAGAUUCCUUGUAGGCGCGAUGUAUAUGCAGCUGUUGUUCCCUGACCUGUUGAGACACAUCCCGCGAUUUACCUCCCUCACAAAACUCUAGGGGCCGGAUGAUAAAGACCUUCAAAAUCGGAGUUCAACCUUUUUUUUUUUUUUUUUAAUGUGGUAUACAAUCCUUUCACAUGCGAGGGGCUAUCCACACCAACCUAAUUCAAUAAAAAUUCCACAUAUGGACAAAGAGUACCAUAAAUCAAGUAGGUGUGGGGCCAGCCUAAUUCAAUAAAAAUUCCACAUAUGGACAAACACUACCAUAAAUCAAGUAGGUGGGGGCCUGAGGGGGUUGGAAAACAAAUAGAAGAGACAUGGGAGUUACGACCUGACAUACAAAUUCAAGGAACAUAGACAAAAGGGGACCAAUUAUUUUAUCAGUAUUCUCAAGGAAAUAGGAUGUUGACUGAAUCACAAAUCCCCCAAUUGAUUUUAAGAAUUAAAAUUUAAUCACACGCUUUCUUGGUCGAUAUUUUUCUUGAAUCUUUUGCCUCUUAGUGUUUGUUCAUUUCUGUGUCCAGACGGCUCAACUUGCGUCUCAAUUGACUUGAUAGCGUCCCUCUUCGGGCAGCUGCUUCUUUAUUUGUCCGUCCGAACUUUUCUCCAAUGAACGGAAAUAAAAAAAGGAGAGGAAGAAAAAUGAAUCGAUUAAGAAACAUUAAAAACACGGACUAUAACAAGUUUGCCAUGCAUUUCAGAUUUUACAUUAAAAUGUUUCGAAUAUUGUAUGAAUCCUUCAAACGUGGAGUGUAGAUGUUAGUUCACAUUUACAUCUAGCCCAUGUUUUGACCCUUUUUUUCUCAAAUCUUAUACAUUUUAUGAAAUCUAUAAGACUAUAACUAUAAUCAACUUCUCAAUCAUACAUUUUAUCAUUUUUAUUAAAAAUUUGAUUUUAUUUUAUCCAAACUCGUUAAGUUCGCAAUAAGUUGGGUCAUUCUCGUCUCACCUUUCUAUCCUUAAUUUGAACUUACAAGACAGGUCCAUGGCCACCUCUAUUAGCUUACUCCCUGCCCAGAAUCAUUAAGAGCUGGUUUUGCUGAUUCAUUUUCUUUAAGUUACUUAUUUUACAUAGCCUGGUUAGUACACAUACGAUCAAUUAUCGACGAGCCGUUAUAUCCCAAAGUAUGAUUUCUUGGGGUGGAAUUUGUGAUGUCAUUUUAUAGAACUUAUCAUUUUUUUAAUUUAUUCUUUAAUCGAGUGUGAGAGGUUAUCUUUUGAUUUACCACAAGCAGAAGAGUAUUUGAUAGCAUAUUAUCAAACUAACAACACCUCAACACAAACUAAUAUUGCCCAAAUCACCCCUCGGGAUAUAAUCCAGUGGUGUAAAAAAUAGGAGUGAGAUAGUCUCAACCUUGUUGGCAGCAACAGUGUGAGGGUUCGAUUCCUGAGAUACGGAAUUAGACUCUUUGUGAGCACCAGUGUACGGACAAGCUCUUAUUCCCUGACCUGUUGGGGCACAUUCCGAAAUUUAUCUCUCUCACGAUACUCCAAGAGUGGGACGGUGGAGGCCCUCAAGGUUGGAGUUCAACCUUUAAUAUUGUCCAAAUCAAGAGGGAAGGGAAAGUAAACAUGCUAUGCCUCAUCCUACGAAACUCUUUUUAUUUACUGUGUGGAAUUCAUUUAGGAAAAAACAAAAGGUCACUUAAGGGUCGGACUCCAAAUCACUUUGCUUACAUGGCCUAAUUAACUGAGACUAUCAAGAAAGGGGGAAGGGAAGUGAACUGUCCCUCAGCUAUAUAACCUCCAUGUCCGAAACGAAGCGCCACGCACUGUUGCAACACAUUUUCAAAGUAAAGUGCCUUUCGUUCCAAAAGGCAUCUUCCAUUGCUUCGUUCAAAAGAUCUUUCAUACAAGAAUUUUUGUACAAUUGAUUAUCGAUUGAUUUGACAUCUCUGCACAGACGUUUCUAAAUGAACUUUUCAGCCUACUUUUUAGAUGAUAGAUCUAGACUAUAAGGUGACCACUUUUAAGAUCAUCUAAUUCACUUCAACCAUAGGACAUUAGAGGUGACGAUUGUGAGGCUGAUGCAUCGAUCACCAAGACGAGAACAUUUAUCAUUCAUCCAAUGAUAUUGAUAUCUCAUUUUCUAAUAUAAAGCUCACAAUUGGUAUCAUGUGAUUUACAUGUGAUACUAAUUUACACCCUCCACAUUGACUUAGCUUGGUAAUAUUAUUUCUCUUAAAAUUUGAUUAUUGUACACAUGUGAGUCCAUCCUACGUCCAAAUAUAUCCAUAUAGUUGACUAACUUGAUAUCGUAGUGUCCGUGAUCGUAUAACCCACUACUAGAGAAGGACACACGCACUUAACGACAUGUCCAAGUAUGCAGGAGUUUGACACAUUUACAAGAAUGAAAUCGAGAUUUAUUGACCACGCUGACCAAAAAAAAUCGAGGUCAACAAAACAUAUAUCCGCAUAAUGUCUUUUUGAGCCCUAUUUUUUAGCAAAGAAUGCAUUUUAGAAUAGUAAAUUUAUAGAUAAUGUGCAGUUAAAAAAUUAAAAUUUUUUUUACGUGUAAUAUUAUUUUAUUAAAAAAUAUAUGGUUGAAAAGAAGAGAUAGAAAUAUUUAUUUUAAAAAUAAUGGCUAAUAUUGUCUAAAAGUCUCAUGUGUAAAGUGUGUGCCCAUUUGCCUUGAUUUUUCUAUGCAUUUUAGUGAUUGCCUUGGUUUUUUGGACUAUUAUUCUUAAAUUAUUUUUCACUUUAUCGAACUAUCAUAUUUUCGUAUUUUUUAUUAUUCAAUAAACUUUUUAAUUAUGAUUUAUGCACAUUUCAAAAACAAAAAAAAAACAAGUUUCAAAUAUAAAAAAUCAGAUUUUAUUAAAAAUUAUUUAUAAAUUAAUUAACUAAUUAAUUAUUUUAGUAGUUAAAUAUAUUUAAGUCACAGAUUUAUAUAAUUUGGUCAUAAAUUAACGAUUUAAUUCGUCAAUUAUUAUUUUUUGGUUACAAAUCAGAAAUUUUAUUUCACAAAUUAUUUUGCGGUCACAAUUCAAAAAUUUUAUAGGUCACAGUUUAUUCAUCGGUCACAAAUCGAAAAAUUUAUAAAUUGCGAUUUAUUUAUUGGUCACAAAUCACAUAUAUUACAAGUCACAACUUAUUACACAAUCACAAAUUAUCAAAUUAUUGAUCAAAUUUUUUAGGUCACACAUUAUUUUUCGAUCACAAUUUAUAUUUUUCAUUGGUCCCAUAUUAUUUAUUGACCACAGAUUAACCAAUUUAAUGGUUACAGAAAACCAAAUAAUUUGUAACCACCACCAACACUUAUGAUUCUCAGUCACAAUUUUUAGGUCACGUAUCCAAUUAUGAAUCACAGACACGAUUUUCGGGUCAUGUAUCCAAUUAUGAGUCACAAUUGAGAGUUCGGUCACAGUAACAAUUUUCAUCGUCACUACUAUCGCCGCCACACAUCAAUACCACAGUUAGGAGUCACAGUCACAGUCCACAACUACCCCAGCCACCCCAAAUCAUCACCACCACCGUAGUCGCCACACACCAACACCACACUUUUCCAUAUCCAUCACUCUUCCACGGAUAGCCAACAGAUCCACAACACUACACACCUCUACUAGAUCGUCGCCACAUACCAUCACUAUCACCAUUGCCGUCGCCACCACCACCAUUUGCACCACCACCACCACCACCACCACCACCAUCACACUACCAUUUGUAAAACCAUAUCCACCUACACCCAACCAAUCAGGAACUCGCCAUCGGUCACUCCAUUCCACUGCCAACAUUCUUCACCUCGUCGACAUCCGCUCCUACACAGAUGUAUCAUCCUCAUCAACAAUCCCAUCAACACACCUCGCUGGCCUUCUGCUCCAAUAUUCUUCAAAUCGUCGGCAGCCACUUGCCAACCAACCACCACACAACGUUGCCACUAGAUCUACCACAACCUGCACGGACCAACUAUAGAGCAACCAUCAUCACUAACUUGGCCAAAUCCGCUCUUGACAUUCCCAUCGUGAGUUGCGAUGGCACGGCAGCGGUGAUGCCGCUUCACAUCAUGCGCUGCUACUCGCCGUCGCAGGGCUCACACAAGAGGAGUUUUUGCAGCAGCAUCUUCGAUGGCGACGAUUUGACGAUAGAGACGAGUGGUGGAGAGUGAUGGGAGAGGAGAGAAUGAUUUGGCCGGCUGCCGAUGUUUGAAAAUGAGAGAGGAAGAGAGAGGGGCGAGUAGACGACUGUAGAGAGAGAGAGGGAGAAAUGAAAAUAAAUUAGGGUGGGAUAAUUUUGUAUUAUAAUAUUUAAUUUAAUGUUAAUUUUUUAAAUAUAUUAAUUAAUUAAAAAAAUUCUGAUUUGUAAAAUACUAAACAUAACAUCUUAUUUAUGAAAUGAAAUUUUUUAAUCUGUUAGAAUUUGUAAUUUCCACUUGGUAAAAUGCUUCUCUACUGAAUUUAGGCUUUUCGAAAAAUUGAAUAUAAUUAUUUAAUACUUUUAUUUCGCAGCCAUUUAUCAAUUAAACUUUACCAUAAAUAAAAAUCUCUUGGUUUAGCCUCCAUGCAAUUCAAUUUAUUGAAAACCUACAUACAAUUGUCAUCUUUCAAAAACUCACAUACUAAACCAACACUUUCCGGAUCGAGUUAAGUAGUAGCUGUAAAAGAAGCAACUCUAUGCAAUAUUACGUGUGAAUAUGGUACAUUAUCACAUUGCUCCAAGUAAAUCCACAAGUUGGAAUGGUUGUUAACAAAUUUUAAAGUUCAUAAAUUUGUCUCGUCUAUAAUGACUUAAGCUUUACAAUACGGUAGACGACUACUAAUCACCUCUUAUCAGGGUUAUUUGGUGGUGUUGUUACAAAAGUACUUAUAUGAGUGAUGAUCAUCAUGUGUCCAUGCCAUUUUAAAUUAAUAACAUUAUUAUUAUUAUUUUAUACAUGUGUGUUGGUCUAUUAAUGAGCACUAUUUAUUUUAUGAAUCUUCGCAAAAGCUCUGCUACCUAUGCUUAUCCAUAGAGGAAGUUUGACAGUGUCAGCCGAUUUGAAUUUCUAAAAUUCAAGUGGACUUGUACAGAUUAUCUAUACAAGGAGAAUAAUUCGCCUUCACAAUUAGAUAGCAGUACUAAGCGGUGAUGAUAAGUGCAAUUUGUGUAUUUAUUUAGGCCGUAUUAUUAAGUUUAUAUGUCGUCAAUUUAUUAAUUUCUAUUUAACUUGGGUAAAUUUUAUUUUGAUUUUAGUGACGAACCCGUUUGAAGCAAGUGAAAAGGAAGAAGGACAUAAUCGAUUAAAAUUUAUGAUUUGGGAUUAAAUUUCACAAGUUGAAGUUGAGAAGGACAUUGACCACACAAAUAAAAUUGUAUCGAGGAUUAACUUGCAUUGCAUGGAAGAAUUAAGGACCCCAAAGCAAAUACCAAUCUAAUUGGGCCCUUUUUGACUUGUAAUGGGUAAUUGGAAUUUAAUGGGAAUAGGGAUUCCUGGAAAGAGGUGCUGCGGCCGUAGUGUGUGUGUGUGUCUAUAUAUAUAUAUAUAUAUAUAUAUAUAGACACACACACACACAGAGGAGAAGAGAAAGAGGUCGGCAGGAACAGGAGAAAUUUGGACUGCCAAUUGGUUGAAAAUAUACAAACAUUGAGGUUGCUUGGGCUGAUUUUCAUACAUACAACACAUACAAUUCGGCAGUGAAAAGGAGAUACAGGGAUAUACCGGCACUGGAGGCUAAUUUAUAUAUAUUUUUACACGCCAAUUAGGGAAGAAAUUGGAGAGUUGCUUGGGGGAAUAGGGGGCUGAAUUUAUAUAUCUUCUUGCAGAGAAAAAAGACGGCAAUUGGUGGAGUGAUACAGAGAAAAAAAAGGCAGCUGAAAUUGGGCUACCUUGUUGAAUUUAUAUAUAUUAACAUCACAGUACUGGAGAGAAAAGGUGGCUGAAAUUGAUAGAAAUUGGAGUCAAACAUUGAGGUUGCUAGGGGUUGAAUUUGGAAUCAUUUUGGAACUAAAAAGUGAGCGGCAGCUUGUAGAUACACACCGAGAACGGCGACCGCAAUUUUGAUAAUAUAUAUAUUAAUCAUGUUUUGUCAAUUUCUCGAUCACGUCGUCUAAAGUUUCUUUGUUUAAUUCCGAUUUUAUGCAAGGCUAAAUUCCUCUCAUAUAUUGGAUGAAGAUGAAACCCAUUAUCAUUGAUUUUUAAUUCGAGUUACAUGGCUUAGUUGAAUUCUUGCAAUUAUUGAUUAAUCUUGUAUGCUUAAUUUCAUUAUUUGAUUGAUUGAUCACAAAUUAAAUAUAUAGUUGCUUGUUGUAGUGUUGGGAAGCUCACAAUAAGUUUAAAAUACGACAUAAUUAACAUAUGUGCAAUAAAUUUUAGGAAUAAGAUUUAUCAUGUGUGCAAUCUUUGAAAUGAUUGUGAAAUUGAAUAUGUUCUAUUCAUAUGAAUUCGGACUACGAAUAGGAUCGGGUCAUGAAUAUGAUAGAUUUAAUUUGUCUUGAAAAAGGAAAAUUAAUUACAAUAGAAUUAUCGAUUGUCUAGAAUGCAAGAGCGAAACUAGUUACGUAAUCGAGAAUUGGAACAGAUAAAAUAGGUGGAUUCGUAAUCCAAUACACUUUUUCCAUAUACAUUUUAAGUUCGUAUUUUACAUGUUUUCGUAGAUUAAAUUAAAAUAAUUAAAAUUCAAAAAAAUCACUUUUAAUUUGUUCGCUUUGAAUCUAAUUAAGACUAGUACACUCAAUUAAAUUUUAUUCCUCGUGUGACGAUACUCUAACUCAUCACAGUUAUUACUUGUACAACGAACCCGUACGCUUGUGGAAUUUUGACAAACAUAUUUUUGAUGCCAUUGUCGGGAUUAAUUUAUUUAAUUUGAGUUUAUUAGUUAUUUUUAGAUUUGAAGUCUUUAUUCCUUUUUCUUUUUUCUUUACUUUACUUGUUUCAAGUUAUUCAUUGGACGAUCUAAGUCUCUCGUUUUACUUUUUUCAGGAAAUCACAGUUUACGCAAAAUUCUGACGAGAUAGAGCUUCUUCCAAUAGAUCCCGAAAUCGAAAGAACUUUCAAACAGCAAAGAGAGAGCAGAGACAAGCGAGAGCUAUGGCAAAAAACCAACAUUAGAAUCAAGCUCAGAACCAUUUGCCACUACCUCCCAAUUCAGCCAGAUCAGCCGAGAACAGUAGCAAAUCAUUGAGAAUUUUUAGUGAGAGAUUUUGUAAAUCCAGUUCCAGCAUCGAUUCAACCUCUGAUUAUCUAUCCGUCGUUUGGACAAGCUAACUUCCACAUCCGACCAGAUGUCAUAAACCUCUUUCAAAAUCAUCAAGACAUCAUGUUCAGCAGGAAAGCUACUAAAAAUCCACAUGAACACAUCCAAGUUUUUACCAUGUUGUGUGAUGUAAUUAGCCAUGAGGAGAUGUCACGGGAUGCAUUUUGAAUGCGUCUAUUUCCUCACACUUUUAAGGAAGGUGCGAAAAUAUAGAUAAUGUCACAACCUCUUGAGAGCAUUGUAUCGUGGAAUGACAUGAUUAAAAAAUUUACCAUGAAGUUUUUUCCGCCAACUCGAGUUCAUCAAAUUUGGAAUGAAAUCCAUACAUUUAAACAGAAAGGCCUUGAGAGCUAUCCAGAGUCAUUGGAAAGGUAUAAGAACUUAUUGAGGAAGUGCCCCAAUCUUGACAUUCCUAAACAAGCACAAAUAUACAUCUUUUACUAUGGAAUACGCCAAGAAUUCAAGAAUAUGGUAGAUGCUUCAGCGGGAGGAUCGAUAAUGGCUAUAAACGUGGACGAUGCUUAUGAGCUGUAUGAGAGGAUAGUAGAAAAUCAAUCGAUGUGGCCAAGCAACGGGAAAGUCCUAAGGAAAAUAACUGGCACAUAUAAUGUGGAUGCAGUAACAGUAUUGAUAGUAAAAGCUUGACUCUUUGACCCAUUCUGUGAAUAUGGUACAAACUCCAGCUCCGAAGUGUGCAGGUUGUGGGGCGGAUCACAUUACUACAAGUUGCCCUUUGGCUUCUACUCACAUAGGUCAGCCAGCAGAGGUCAGUUAUGCGCAGAACUAUCAGAAGCAAAAUGGACCUUACCCAUACAACUACCAUCCAAGUUUGAACAAGCGUCCUAACUAUACGUGGGUUGAUAAUUCAGAUCAAGUAAAUCAGAUGAGGGGCAAUCCACCAGCAAUUCAACAACAAGAAGAAAAGAGGCAAUCAUUAGAAGAUUUCCUUGUCAAGUACGUCACCAAGACUGAGACGGUGAUACAGAAUUAGCAAGCCUCUAUACAUAACUUAGAGAAAUAGGUGGGACAGAUAGCAGCUGCAUUAGCUAACAGAGCACAAGGUACUCUACCGAGCGAUACAGAAAAGAAUCCAAAGAAGCAGGUCUUAGCUGUUGAAGUUGCAAAUUAUGCAACUAUCGAGACACCAUCGAUCAAGCCUGCUACACCUGUUCAAGCUUAUGUGCCGCCUAUUCCAUUCCCUCAAAGGCUUCAAAGACAACCUAAAAAUGAUCAAGUCCAGGCUAUCACAAUGAGAAGCGGAGUUCAGCUGUCAGAAAUCACAGUGAAGAAGAAGGGGACUGAGGAGAAUUGAAUAGCUACCUCGAGGAAAGAACAAGUGGAUCAAUCUGAAAAAUCACCAAAUGUCAAUCAAGAAGAACAGUCAGAUAAUCCAUAGGCCAAGACAACCGUUCUUAGCAAUAAAAAACACCUUUAGUUCCACUCCCUCAAAGGUUGCAGAACAAUAAAAUGAACAAACAAUUCAAGAAUUUCUUGAACACCCUCGGACAACUUCACAUCAACAUUCCUUUUAUUGACGCUAUUCUACAAAUUCCAAAUUAUGCUAAGUUUUUUUAAUGAAAUGUUGACUAAGAAGAGAAAGCUGCCAGACCAUGAAACAUAGCAUUAUCUGAAAAAUGCAGCGCCAUCAUCCAACACAAAAUUCCUCCAAAACUUAAAGAUCCGGGGAGUUUCACUCUACCUUACUCUAUAGGAAAUUUAAAUAAUAUAAAUUGUUUAAUUGAUUCAGGAGCGAGUAUUAAUUUAAAUCCCUUACUUCUUUACAGGAAACUAGGAUUAGGAGAUCCUAAGGCGGCAUCAUUAUCCUUUAGCUGGCAGACCGAUCAUUGAAACACCCUUACAGAAUAGUCGAAGACAUUCUUAUCAAGGCGAGGGAGUUUAUUUUUCCAGCUGACUUCGUCAUCCUCGACAUUGAAGAGGCAUCUCAGAUGCCAAUAAUUCUGGGAAGGUCGUUCUUGUGUACAAAUCAAACUCUGCUAGAUUUUGAUGCUAAUGAAAUUAUCUUGAGGGUGGAGGAUAAGAAACAGAGCUUCACCAUGGAGAAUCCAAUCAAACAACCAUCAUACUUUGAGGAUGUCCAACGAGUUGAUCAUUAGAAAAGCUACAAAGGCAGACCAAAUGAAGGUGGAAUUGUUGGUAGGGGCAGCGAUGGAAACUUAAUUGUGUGGAGGAUGAAAGAUGUAAAAAGGAAGUGCAAUUAGUGCAUAAAAUGCAAAGCUGAAAAUUCUCUUUUCAAACCUCCAUGAAGAGCCAAAACAACAAAAUCUAGUUAAAGACUAUAAAUUAAGCGCUUAUUGGGAGGCAACCCAAUUUUAUUACCAUUUAUUUAUUUUCCUUUGAUGCAUUGCAUAUAUACUUGUUUUGAAUAUUAGUUUGCAUUAGAUUUAGGCAUGUUUAAAUUUAGAGGGUAUCUUCAUCCUAUCAUGUUUUCGCUUAGGCCUUUAAGUUCAAUGUUGGUUAUUUCGAGUGUUUGGGCUAAGUAACACAUGUUCUAUAUUAUUUGAUCUCUAAUGUUUGAUUUGAUUGUCAUAUGCAGGAACAUAACAUCGUGGAACACCUAAACCAAUAUAGAUCAAGGGAAAAACAUGAUGAGAAAGAUUGUCUAGCCGCCAUUCAUAGUUCCUUCCAAACUCACCAAAAAAAUUCGGGGAUUACUUUCGUCCUUUUCUUCCCCCAUCCCUUUACAUUCUUAAUAAUGUUUUACGAUAUUGAGGACAAUGUCGGGUUUAAGUUUGAGGGUAGAAAAAACUUUAAGUUUUUGGUUUUCGUAAUUUUUGUUUAUUUAAAAAAAAAUUUGUUUUGUGUGAUAAGGUAAAAAAAAAUCAUUAAAUUCUUUUUUUUAUUUAUUUGUUUAUUUUUGGUUGUGUGCUUGUGUGGGUUAGACGGUUUGACUGACAAUGAUGAUUGAAAUUGAAAUUUGGUUUGAUUUAUGAACUGUGAAUAGGAUGCAAGCCAGACUGAUUGAAGCUUGAACUUGCAAAACUUGAUAUUAUACAUGUACUAAAGCUGAGUUUGACAUUAUAAUAAAAUGAGUUGAUUCAUACAUGUGAUAGAUUGUUUUAGUUGGACAUAGAUGCUUUACCCAAAUCAUACUAAUUAUUUAUCCUUAGACCAAAUUUAUCACAAUUUGGGAAGACCUUACUGUUGUAGAAAGAUACAGAUGUGAAUGUAGAUUCCUUGUGUGAAAAAUAUGUAUGGAUUGUCUGAGAUUAACAUGAUAAAAUUGGGUGAAUGUCUUAAAUUGGAAGUCGGUUUGGUUGAAUAGGUGUGUGAUAAGGGGCAUAGCACUAAUCAAGGCAUAUAUUUUGAUAUUUAAAAAUUCUCUUUGAAGUUUUUAUGACUCGAGCAACUAAGCCUGCAAGGAUAUCUUAAAACCUAGUGCCCUAAAGUCAUCCGACUUAGGAGUUAUUGGCCAAUUGGUUGAAAAUAUACAAACAUUGAGGUUGUGAUAAGUCUAGUUUCUACACUUAUUUGGGAUCCUAAAUGAUGAUAUUUUGUUAUUCUUUGAACGGAUUAGUACCUGAUUUGCUAUUUAUUGCUUUAAUUAGGAAAAGUUCAUGUUUCAAAGAAGAAUUGGAAAAAAAAAAGGAAAAUGGCUAAAUGAAGCAAAUUCAAAGUAUGGGGGACCAAAGUGUAAAUAUUUAAUGCUUGAUUUGGACCACAAAAGAUAUUUUGAAGAUUGAUAGGAGUCAAUUGAAUGCAAAUUGGAGUAAAAAAGGAAAGGGAUAUGAUUAGAAUAUUACUAUAAAUCGAUUUCAAAUCAUAUAAGAUAUCUUCAAGUUUUUUGGUCAACUUGUGACUCAUUUUUCGGAUGGAGAACAUUUGAAUUGGAAAAAUUGUAUUUUUAGAAGAAUUGUAGCUCUUUUAACUAGCUUUUCAAUGCACUUUAAAUCACCUAAAUCGGACACUAAAAGAGAAAGUUAUGAUCAAAAUAUUGAAAGCUGUGUAGAGACAAAAUUACGUGCACUCGAAAACAACUUAUUUGAUUCAAACUCUUUUGGAAGACAAUUUGGACGUGAAUUUUGACCUAAUUUCAUCAUAUAAAUACAAGAUAUGGGUAGCAAUGAAAUGGUCUCUUUUGCCUCUUCAUAUACAAUAGUUUCUUCAAAUCUAUCAAAAACAAGGGGCCAAUUGCUAUAUUUUGAGAGAGAAUAUCAAGCCAUAGCAAGGAAUUGAAAUUCAAUUACAUCAAGUUUUGAAGAAUUCAACUUUGGACGUGAAGAUCAACAUCUUUUGUAUUUUUUCAUGAUCCGGAUGAUAUUUUUCUAUUAUUCUUCUUGUAAUUUAUAUAUCAAUAUGCUAUGCUAGUUUUUCAUUGUAUUGGAUGAAUGAUGAACCCUAUCGUUUGUUUAUUUUAAUUCAAGACAAUUAAUUUAGUAUUUCAUGAUUUUUUCUUGAUUGGUUUUGCAUUCCCAUUGAACUAUUUAAUUGUUUGGUCACCAAUUAGAUAGUAAGUUGUUUGUUGUAGUGUUGGAAUGCUCACAAUAAGUCUAGAACGCAGUAAAAUCAACAUAUGGACAAUAUGUGUUAAGAAUAAUAUCUAUGGCAUGUGCAACCAUGUGUGAUAAAUCCUAUGAAUCAAUGCAUGUUUUUCAUAUGAAUUCGGAUUAGGAAUAGGAUUAGGUCGUGUUAAACAUAGGUUUAAUAUAUCUUGAAAAAUAAUAUUAAAUAAAAGUGGAUUAUCGAUUGUCUUGAAUGCAUAAAUUAAGAGUUGAAUUAAAUGACAAUAGGGGGAUUCAUGAUUCCAAUACAAAUAUUCACAUUUUUUUGCAACAUUCUCUCCCUUAAACUUUCUAAAUGACCCUUUUAGCUAAAUUUAGGCCGAUGACUCCUAAGUCAGUUGACUUUAGGACACCAGAUUUUAACAUCCUUACAGGCUUAAUAACUCGAAUCAUAAAGACUACGAAGAGAAAUUUUCAAAUAAAAUAUAUAUGUAUAUUUUUUUUAACAUAUGUAAACAACGCAUGAAAACAUACGAAAAUAAAAAACACAAAGUGUUUCCCAUUUUUGUGUGUGUUUUAUUGUUUUAAAAAUUAAAAAAAUACAAAAAGAUAAAAGAAAAUGUUGCUUGGGCUGAUUUUCAUACAUACAACACAUACAAUUUGGCAGUGAAAAGGAGAUACAGGGAUAUACCGGCACUGGAGGCUGAUUUAUAUAUAUUUUUACACGCCAAUUAGGGAAGAAAUUGGAGAGUUGCUUGGGGGAAUAGAGGGCUGAAUUUAUAUAUCUUCUUGCUGAGAAAAAAGACGGCAAUUGGUGGAGUGAUACGGAGAAAAAAAAUGGCGGCUGAAAUCGGGCUGCCUUGCUGAGUUUAUAUAUAUUAACAUCACUGUACUGGAGAGAAAAGGCAGCUGAAAUUGAUAGAAAUUGGAGUCAAACAUUGAGGCUGCUAGGGGAUGAAUUUGGAAUCAUUUUGGAACUAAAAAGUGAGCGGCAGCUUGUAGAUACACACCGAGAACGGCGAUUGCAAUUUUGAUAAUAUAUAUAUUAAUCACGUUUCAUCAAUUUCUCGGUGAUGUCGUCUAAACUUUCUUUGUUUAAUUCCAAUUUUAUGCAAGGCUAAAUUCUUCUCAUGUAUUAGACGAAGAUGAAACCCAUUAUUAUUUAUUUUUAAUUCGAGUUACAUGACUUAGUUGAAUUCUUGCAAUUAUUGAUUAAUCUUGUAUGCUUAAUUUCAUUAUUUGAUUGAUUGAUCACCAAUUAAAUAUAUGGUUGCUUGUUGUUGUGUUGGAAAAUUUACAAUAGGUUUAGAACACUACACGAUUAACAUAUGUGCAAUAAAUUUUAGGAAUAAGAUUUAUUACGUUUGCAAUCUUUGAGAUAAUUGUGAAAUUGAAUGCGUUAUAUUCAUAUGAAUUCGGAUUAGGAAUAUGAUCGGGUCGUGAAUAGGAUGGAUUUAAUUUGUCUUGGAAAGGAAAAUUAAUUACAAUAGAACUACCGAUUGUCAAGAAUGCAAGAUCGAAACUAGCUACGUAGUCGAGAAUUGGAGUAGAUAAUUAUAGGUGGAUUCGUAAUCCAAUACAUUCUUCCCAUAUACAUUUUAAAUUCGUAUUUUACACGUUUUCGUAGAUUAAAUUAAAAUAAUUAAAAUUCACAAAAAUCACUUUUAAUUUAUUUGCUUUGGAUCUAAUUAAGACUAGUACACUCAGUUAAAUUUUAUUCCUCGUGGGACGGUACUCUAACUAAUCACAAUUAUUACUUGUACAACGAACCCGUACGCUUGCGGGAUUUUUACGAACAGAUGACUGAAUAAAACUUACACUUUUCUUAUUAUUACAGAAACAAACACCAAACACCACUUAUUUCUUAUUACACUACAAUCUAACGAAGCCUGAAAACCAACUAUGGUUAGAAAUAACAUUUAGUUGCAAACUUUUCUAUGGACUGAAACACCUAGGCUUUCACUCAUGUCCAAAUCCUCUCCUUUUGCUCCAUUAGGCAAUUCCCAAUCAAACGAAGCCUGAAAACCAACUAUAGUUGUAAACUUUUAUAUGGACUCAAACGCCUAGGCUUUGACUCAUGUCCAAAUCCUCUCCUUUUGCUCCAUUAGGCAAUUCCCAAUCAAAUUUCAGAAUAGUAUUUGUCAACACAAGUUCGUUAGUUGCCAUUGUGUAAGAGAUCCUUGGAUAACCUCUCCGACCAGCCCCAAAACGGAUCAACUGGAAAUCGAGUCCUUCGAUAUCUUUCUGUGAAUUCAAGAAUCUCUCUGGCCGAAGCUUUUUUGGUUCGUCCCCGUAAUUAGGGGCUCGGCAAAUGGCCCAUGCAUUGGUCAUGACCAUCGUCCCUGCUGCAAUGUCAUAGCCCAUUACAUUGACAUCUUUUCUUGCUUCCCGAGCGAUCACUAAUGGGAUUGGGGUUUGGAAUCAUAGAGUUUCCUUCACUGCACUUUCAAAUAAUGCAUUUUUUCUAAGUCAGCAUUUGUUAUGUCCUGAGAAUUCCCCUCACCUCAAUUUGCAACUUUUUCAUGACUCUUGGGUGCCUGAAGAGCUCUGUCAUUUCCCAUUCUAGAACUACGGAUAAAGGGAUCUGUUCCAGAGCAAAGACAUCCUAAAAUAAUCAAGAAUGUUGAAAAAUGUAAUAUUUAACAUAAAGUUCAUAGCUUUCAAGCAUUUGCACCAAUUUUUUUGGCAGCUAAUUAUAAACAAAUCAGUUCUUUAGUACUAUAAUAUUCUUUACGCGAAACAACACUUCAGUGAUUAAAUUAACUAAAAACCCACAAAAGAAGCAACCCAAUACAAUUUAAACUCACAAUAACUUCCAAUUUAGCGGGUGUUUGACACCCAUUUUUAGGGAAAAAUGAAUUUUAGAAUAGUAGAUUGACGGAGAAUAUUUGGAUGAAAAAUAAGGAGUUUUUUUUAUUUACGUGUAAUAUUAUUUUAAUGAAUAAUGUGUUGUUGAAAAAAAGAGAGAGAAAAAUGCAUUUUAAAAAAAAUGGGAAUAAAACGGGACUUUAAUAAGACCCAUCAAAUAUUACCCACGCCCGUAUGAUAAAAUUUUAUGUACAUGAAUAUAAAAGAAGGUAUAAAAUUACUUGCUGGGCCUUCAAAGUAGUUUUACAAAAGUGAAGAUACCAAGUGUGUUGACAAAAUGUAGGCCACUGAUUUGAAAUGAUUUAAAAAUUUGUUUUUGAAAUUAUUGGUGUUGAUGUUAUUUUGUAAACCAAUUUUGUAAGUGUAGCAUGACUCUAGAGAUUUUCCUAUUGGGAGUUUGACGGGGUUAUAGGGUCUGUUGUAUAGGCCUGAAGAAUGCCCAUUUUUUGAGAACUUGUAGAGAAGAAAAUCUGGGUUUUGCAGUUGAUGACGGUGAUAAUACAUUCAAACUUUCCAUGUAUGUAAAAUCUAUCCUGGAAAUGAAACUGGAAUUCACUAUAUGUGAGUCUCUGUGUGUGGAGAUUGUGAUGAAUUUUAAAAAUCAUUUCCUCGAUCAAGAUUUUAAUGGAAAAUUUAGGUGUCCCAAUUGAGAUUUUAAUUAAAUUCAAUGAAAUUUUUUAAAAUUUAGGUAUCCUCAAUUAUUAGUAAAUUUUUAAAGAUUUUAUAAAUAGAUCGAGGGAUUUUAAAAAAUUUUGAUGAUUUAAAACUUAAAAAUAAAUCUAAUCAAAUCUUUUGAAAUUUUACCAUAUUUAAUGAGAUUCUUAUGAAAUUUGUAGAAAUCUAUUUAAAUUAACAAAAUUAAUUAGGAUCAUAAAUUUUUAAACUUCAUCAGAAUCUUAGUUGAAGACACCCUGUUAUAGUUAAAGGGACAGAAUGGAGACUAUUUUUCUUCCGGCAACGAUAGGGUGGUGUCAAUGCAUUACAGUCGCAUUGGUCUAGAAAUUACGGAAAGGAAUCGAAGUUUGGGUAAAAACCAAUCGAGAAAAGGUUAGGACAAGAUCGCAAGUUUAGGCAAAGGUUAGAGACCGAAUUUGCAAUUUAUGCUAAACAAAACUUUUCUUGAAUUAUUGGGUCAUGAUUUAGCUGCACAUUGCUUCUUUUCUUUUUCUCCCUUUCUCUUCACUAUUUCACCGAGGGUUCAAACCCUUGGUUAAACUCUUACCUCUGCUAAUUUAUUAAAAAAAUUGUUGCAGGUGCGUUUCUAUGAAAAAAUUGUUUGCAUCCGAUGAAUAUGCUGAACACAAAAUGAAGCCCAUGUUUGGUUUGGCUAAAAAUCAAUUGUUUUAGUAGAAUUUUAUAAAGAUUGAUGAAAUUGGUGAUUGAAAAUCUGAUAAAAGUUGCGAGUAUAACAAAAUCUAUGAAUAAAAAUGAAUUAGACUAAAAAAAAACUGUCUCCUGCAUAGAUCAUGUAUUGAUAUAUACUAUAACUAUAAGAUACUCCCUUUUCGCGGAUUACUGCAUUUAUCCGAGUGAUUCACAAAUGACGAAAAUUUCUCUUUUGUUCAUCCAUAUCCGGAUGAGCCGAAACCAAAGCUCUUAUUUUCUAUUGAGUGGUAGUUCGAGCAAGUCUUGAAUAAGCCCCUUGAAAGCUUGAUGCUAAUAAACGAAUUUUUGUUCUCUGUCUCUAAGCUAUAUAUCCGCGUUUAAUUCUGGGCAUUAAUAAUGUUAAAAAUUUGGACCCAAACAAUAGCUAAAAACACAUGAUUCAUUAAGGUAAACAUGAGAUAAUCGGAGCCUCACAUCACUCAUUAAGUGCUGCCGACAGCCAGGAAUCACUAUUAUCAGGGUUGCUUUGCAAUGGCAUUCGACAAGUAGUUAAUUUUAUAACUGUAUACAUUUUUAUUUGCAUGAUAUAUAAGUCUAUUCCGACGAAUUAUAUAUUUCAUAAAUUUUAAAUGUAAUAUUAAGUAAUAAUGGAAUAAAAGUGAAUACAUUGUCCUAAUUGAAGAAUCAAGUAAACUAUAAUACAUCACGAUAAGAUACAAAUAUACAAUCCCAGCAUAAAAACGAUGGUUCCCCAAUUUAUUUUGUUGUGCGAGUGCGUGCGGGGUUGUGUAAAAAGCAUAAAGAAUUAUGAAUGUUUAGUUUAUGGUAGAAACUGUUAUUUCCAUCACGCUGCAUGAAACUCAUAUGGAUCAGAGAUAGCAUUGAGUCGCAACAGCAAAAAGAGGAACUUUUCUAUGGAUUGAAACACCUGGGCGUUCACUCAUAUCCAAAUAUCCGCCCUUUGCUCCAUUAGGCAAUUCCCAGUCAAAUUUCUGAACAAUAUUUGCCAGAAUGAGUUCGUUAGUUGCCAUUGCGAAUGAGAUUUCUGGACAACCCCUUCGACCAGCCCCAAACGGGAUCAACUGGAAAUCGAGUCCUUUAAAAUCUAUUGAUGAAUUUAAGAAUCUCUCCGGCUGAAACUUCUGUGGUUCUUUCCAGUAAAGAGGGUCUUGGCCAAUGGCCCAUACAUUGGUCAUGACCAUUGUACCUGCUGCAAUGUCAUAGCCCAUUACCUUGACAUCUUCUCUUGCUUCCCGAGGAACCAGCAGUGGGAUUGGGGUGUGAAAUCUUAGAGUUUCCUUCAGGACAGCUUUCAAAUAAUGCAUUUUCUCCAAGUCGGCAUCUGUUAUGUCAUGAUUGCCAUUGAGAACUCCCCUCACCUCAUUUUGCAACUUUUUCAUGACUAUUGGGUGCCUUAAGAGUUCUGUCAUUGCCCACUCUAGAACUGUGGAUGUGGUAUCAGUUCCAGCAGCAAACACAUCCUGAAAUAAUCAAGAAAGUUAAAAAACUUAAGGCUAAGAAAAUUAAUAGUCACCUAAACUUUCGGAUGAAGUGAUUCAAUCGAAGUAGACAAAAGUCUUGACUUCAAAGUCCAUUACCACCUAGGAAGCUAUGCUCGUGUCAAACCUCUAAGGGUCUUAAGCACGAGAAACUUCUAUGUAUAUGUUUCUUUCAAUGACAGUUUUAGCUUUUAAAUGAAGUUGUUCAAUUUUAUUACGAUUAUAUGCGAGGGAGGGGUGCUUACCAAAAUUAUGGCUUUGAUACCAUCUCUAUCAAUGGAUACACCAGUGGUAUUGUCCUGGUAAAUCUUAAGCAGAAUAUCUACAAAAUUCUCUUUACUUUCAUCCUUUCCGCUUGAAUUUUCCAUAUCCCAGUGUUCUUGAAUCACUCCUUCAAGAAACUCAUCUAGUUCUUUAGCAGCAAAAUUUACUCUGGCAUCGAAACCACUAACACGAUUAAUCCACGCCAGCCAUGGAAUGAAUUCCCCAACACUGAUAGUCCCCAAAAGUCCCAAAAAUUCAGUAAUCAGCUGCAGAAAUUUCUCCCCUGUCGCCCCGUCCCUGUAUUUCCUACCGAAAGCCGACCUACAAACGACGUCGUUUGUGAUUGCCGUAAACAAAUCACUCAUAUUCAAUGGCGAUGAAGAAAGACACGAUUCCUUAAUUUUUUCCAUCAUCAAGGCCGUUUCUUCUUCCCUUAUAGCAUGGAAUGAUUGUACCUGUUAUGGACAGAAAUGCACUGUUAGAAAAUCUUAUCAAGUCACUCCAAGCAAUUCUAAACUCUUUUAAGUUCUCUCAGUUUUUAUGCACUGUUGAGCAUCUUUGGCCUAGAAUAACGUCGUUUUUGCUUAUUUCCGGCAGUAUCAAGAGUGGUAUUGCUGAAAUAAACAGCUUCUUGUACAAAAGGAGCAAGGGUCAAUCAAGCUGGAAACGCUAGAGUCAGGCCUGUCAACGAAAAUGACAUCAUAGGUUUUCAUAAUUUCCCUGGCGGCGUCCGCCGAUGAAACGAUAAGCGUCGGAACAUUUCCAAAGUGGAGAAGCAUUAACGGGCCGUAUUUUUUGGACAUGGAUUGAAGGGACUGGUGUGGGAGCGUGGCGAUUUGGUGGAGAUUUCCGAUAAUCGGGAGUUUCGGCGGCGAUGGCGGCAGAUUUUUGCUGUUUGUAGUGGCCGCCACCCUUUUGACGAAUUGCCAUUCAAGAAAUAUACUGAUAAAAGUGAAUAUAAAUGGAUUUUGUAAAAGAAAUUCAGCCAUUUGGUGCUUAAAACUAUACUUUCUGAUUGUCUGUACUCUGUUUUCUGUCCCUGAACUGUAUGAGGCUCCUCUAUAUAUACAGACAGGAAUGCGCGUAAUAAGACUGCAUGCUUGCUUUGCUAUACACUAUUACAAUAUUUUAACCUUUUUUUUAUACAAUUUUUCAAUCACACAUUUACCAAAAUUUAUUAAAAGAUCUGAUUUUAAUCCACACUAAACAGAGACUUAGGGGGUAUAUUCAAUUAGGACUUUUACAGACUUUGGGAGAUUUAAGAAGUUUCGGUGUAUUCAAUUGAGGCUUUUAAAGACUCUAAAAGUCUGAGUGUAUUUAAUAGAGACUUUUAAAGAAUUUUAAAAAGUCUUAUAAGUUACAGGGUAUUCAAUUGAAAGUUUUUAUGAGUCUCUACAAGUUUCGAGGUAUUCAAUUAAGAAGGAUUUUCGGAAAAUUUAUAAUUUAUUAGACUUUGGGAGACUUUUAGGUAGAAAAUAUGGAUAGAAUUUUCAAAGGAAAAUCUCUCAUCCAUCGAGAGAUUUCUCAAUUGAAGCCGGCUCUUCUAUUUCCUUCUAGGGUUCUCCUCCAUCUCCUUCAAUCGGUAAUAAUUGAACUAUUUUCCUGUUAGUCUCUGGAAAGAGGUACUCUUGAAAACUCAUAAUGUUAAUGGAAUUUGGUAACAGACGAUUCUCAGUUUGUGUGUGAUCAGUUUGGCUGAUUUUGUAUUUUGCCUGUACAAAAGAGAUCCAUAACGUGUUCUGGCCAGAAUUUCAGCCUUCAAAGGUCAAAGCCUGCAAAUUCCUGUUUUUGCACUUUGGGUAAUAUUUUAUUAUUACCUUUGGUUUUUAAUUUGCCUGCAUCCACAUGGGCUGUUCGGCCAGUUUAAUAAGAACUUGAUCAGUUUUGCUCAAAUGAAAGGGGCACUUUCAAGGGUGGUUGUUUUUGGCAAGCAACUUGUUCAGACUCCCCUUACAGAUCAGCUGCCUGUCUCGUCUAACUUCAGGCAAGCGCUUCACCAACCGGCUGCUUUGAUUCCCAGUCAAAGGUCUUCAAGCCAGCCUGUUUCGUCCUGCUUGAUGCAUUAUAUUUCAGGCUUCAGCUGUCUGAUUGUUUGGAUUCCAUCAAUAGUUUGAUAAUUCGUGUUCUAGAUUGGCCAAGUUUGUAAUAUUUUGAAUUAUAUUUCGUCACUUGGUAUGGAUCGCUAGAUUAUUAGAUCUUUGUAAUGUUCUGCUUUGAAUGUCCGAGUAUGCUCGAAGUAGUUGUACUCAGUUUUGAUCAAUACAAAUUUAUUUACCUGAUCAAAAAGAAAAAAAAAAAAAAAGAAAAAGAAAAGAGAUCCAUAACUUGUAUACCGGGCAAUACGAACUAAAAAAUGAAUGGAUAAGUUAGUAGUCAUUUUCAACAUUGGCAUUUCCUACCUAUCAACAUUUCUUGGCAGUAAUCUAAUCUUUAUCGCUAAUUCUAUUAACUUGGAGGGAUAUUCUAUUGUGACUGUUAUCACUGUCCAUAGAACUACCAGAAUGGUAAUUUUGUAAAGCGGGCUGAUAGUACUGAUUUCUUCUUAUCAGCGUUGUUAUUGGCAUUUCAGAAGCUCCAACUUGACCUGCUAUUGUAAGGUUUUAUACUUUUAUUUGUUAUUCUGGAUGAUUUAUGUGCCACCAUUCUUCAUCUUUUAGCCAUAAAAGUAUAUUUAGUGGAUGGGUUAUUUGCAACAAGAACUCAACUUAAAUGUUUGGUUGGUAAGAAAUGUAGUUGGCAAUAUUUUUAACUUCUAAAUUGGUAUAGUAAGCAUGAACUUGAUCACAAUUCACGCUUGAUGUGGAAAAUAGUUUUUUCCUCUUCAAUGCAACAAUUACUAAAAUACUAUUAUUUUUUUAAUAUUUUGAUUAUUUGUUAAUCUACUUGAUAUAACUUGAAUUUUUUUUUUUGGAAAAAAAAUUGGCACGGAAAAUACGAUUUAUUAUUUUACAUUUUCAAUUAUAUGAGUUGUGGACGAUUUAAAUAUAAAAAAAGUUGUUAAACAUAUGACAUUAUAUAUGUUUAAUAUUUUCUUUUAAAAAAAAUAAAAAGUCUUCAAAAAUUUUUAAAAGUCUCUAGUAAAAGUCUUCAGAAAUCUAGGAAAAACUUUUACUAAUUCCUACCAAAUCCAUGGAAAUCACUUAAAAUUUCACAAAGUCAAUAAAAGUCACAUACUUUAAAAAGUCUCCAAAAGUAUUUAAAAGUUCCAAUUGAAUACAUAUGCCUUCUAAACCUAUUUUAUUUAGACUGGUUUGAUGUAAUUUUUUUCUUUAAAAGUAAAAUUUGAAUAAUGUUCGAUUAAAAUGUAAAAAAAAUAAAUAAUAAUAAUAAUAAUAAUAAUAAUAAUAAAUUAUGAAUUUAUAUGUAAAAUUAUUUUAUUAUGAGAACGUGUCAUUAAAAAUAAUUAUUAAUUAUAAUAGGUGCCCAAUUUAACUUAUUCUGUUGGGGUCAAGCCCCCCACUUUAAAAUGUCUACAUGUAUUUAUGAAAAAAUUGUCGCAAAAACCUAACGUUGGAUGUGUAUGUUAAGUGGUAAUAGAUGAAUAAAUAGAUAUUUGGGCUAAUAGUUUAAUUACACUCAGGCAUGACUUGUAAACAUCGAAGGAUAAAUCUAUUUGUACAAUUAUUUUGUACAACAUUAUUGACGGUGUUGUAGUAGUCAAAAAAGAAUUGGUCGAAAAAUUGAAUUAUUUUUAAAAUUGUUCAAUGUGGCAUGUUAUCAAUAAUGUCGUCAAAAUAAUUUUAUACCAAGCACGAUUGAACAUCAAAUUGGUGAAUGGCAAUAAAAAUUAAUUUAUCGGAAAAAGUAAGACCACCUAUUUUCAAUCACAUAUUUUUGUUAGGUUCCAUUUUUUCAACGAAAAUAUCUUUAUUAGAAAUUUCUCUUACAAAAGGAAGAAAAACUAUGUGAUUAAUAUUUAUAUAACUUAACAAUUUUUUCAAACUUUGUCCAACUAACUAUUUUAGAUUUUGGUUUUGUUAUCACAUUUUUAUUAAGUUUUGAUAAAGUUUGGACUUGUUAAAAUUAUUUUUUGACUUUAAUUUAGAUUUUUAUUAAUUUUCUACUACUGCUGCUACUACUGCUAUUACCGGUACUGUUACUGGUACUGCUGUUACUCCUACUCCUCCUCCUCCUCCUCCUACUGUUGUUACUGUUGCUGCUGCUGCUGCUACUACUAUUACUACUACUACCAUGACCACCACUACCACCACCAGUAGUAGUAGUAGCAGCAACAACAACAGUAGUAGUAUUAGUAUUAGUAGUAGUACUGCUACUACUGCUACUGCUACUGCUACUUCUACUGCUAUUGCUAUUGCUGCUGCUACUACCACGAGCACAACCACCACCACCACCGUCACCACCACCACCACCACCACUAACAAGAAAAUGAUAUUAUGCUUAAUUCUAUUCUUUAAAAACUCAAAUUAUCAAAAAGGAAAUCGUCCAAUUUCUUGAAAAGACAAUAUGUAACAAGAAAGUAGCUAUAGCUUCUUAAAAGUCCAUUAUCAAUUAAUAUUUUCCUAGUUUAACCAAACUAUUAAUUUAUCCAGAAUUAAUGACGAAUGAAUGGAUAGUAACACGCAAAGAGUCCUCUACGUCUAUUACAAUGGAACUAGUCCAUACUUGAUUGCAUUUGAUUAAUAUUAAUAUUUUUAUUUUUAUCAUUAUCGAAUAAGUCGAAAUUAUGGUUUAAAAUCCGAACUUCCCUCUCUCUCUCCCUUUUUAAAGAGUGUUUGUACAGCACCCUUUAAAUAAUGAUAAAAAUAAAAAAUAUUAAUAUUAAUAUUUUUAUCUUAUUGGAUAAGUUGAAAUUGUGGUUUAAAAUCCAAGCUUCCCUCCCGCUCCUACCGUCGAAAUUGUGGUGUACAAUCCUUUCACAUGCAAGGGGCUGUACACACCAGCCUAAUUCAAUAAAAAUUUCACAUAUGGACAAAGAGUUCCAUAAAUCAAGUAGGUGGGAGCCUGAGGGGGUUGGAAAACAAAUAGACGAGACAUGGGAGUUGGGACCUGAUAUACAAAUUUAAGAAACAUAGACAAAAGGGGACAAAUUAUUUUAUCAGUAUUCUCAAGGAAAUAGGAUGUUGACUGAAUCACAAAUCCCCCAAUUGAUUUUAAGAAUUAAAAUUUCAUCACACGCUUUCUUGGUUGAUAUUUUUCUUAAAUCUUUUGCCUCUUAGUGUUUGUUCAUUUCUGUGUCCAGGCAGCUCAAUUUGCGUCUCGGUUGACUUGAUAGCGUCCCUCUUCGAGCAGCUGCUUCUUUAUUUGUCCGUCCCGGUUGACUUGAUAGCGUCCCUCUUCGGCAGCUGCUUCUUUAUUUGUCCGUCCGAAUUUUUCUCCAACUAACGGAAAUUGAAAAAGGAGACGAAGAAAAAUGAAUCGAUUAAGAAACAUUAAAAACAUGGACUAGAAUUUGCCAUGCAUUUCAGACUUUAGAUUAAAAUGUUUUAAAUCUUGUAUGAAUCCUUCAAACAUGGAGUGUAGAUGUUAGUUCACAUUUACAUCUAGCCCAUGUUUUGAAAAUUUUUAUUUUUAUUUUUACUUUUAUUAUUAUUAUUUUUCAAAUCUUACGCAUUUUAUGAAAUCUAUAACUAUAAUCAAUUUCUCAAUCAUACAUUUCAUCAUUUUUAUUAAAAAUUUGAUUUUAUUUUAUCUAAACUUGUUAAGUUCGCAAUAAGUUGGGUCAUUCUCGUCUCACCUUUCUAUCCUUAAUCUGAACUUACAAGACAGGUCCAUGGCCACCUCUAUUAGCUUACUCCCUGCCCAGAAUCAUUAAGAGCUGGUUUUGCUGAUUCAUUUUCUUUAAGUUACGUAUUUCACAUAGCCUGGUUAGUACACAUGCGAUCAAUUAUCGACGAGGCAUUAUAUCCCAAAGUAUGAUUUCUUGGCGUGGAAGUUGUGAUGUCAUUUUAUAGAACUUAUCGUUUUUCUAAUUUCUUCUUUAAUCGAGUGUGAGAGAUUAUCUUUUGAUUUACCACAAGCAGAAGAGUAUUUAAUAGCAUAUUAUCAAACUGACAACACCUCAACACAAACUAAUAUUGUCCAAAUCAAGAGGGAAGGGAAAGCAAACAUGCUAUGCCUCGUCCUACGAAACUCUUGCUAUUUACCAUGUGGAAUUCAUUUAGGAAAUAACAAAAGGUCACUUAAGGUCACACUCCAAAUCACUUUGCUUACAUGGCCUAAUUAACCGAGACUAUCAAGAAAGGAGGAAGGGGAGUGAAUUGUCCCUCAGCUAUCUAACCUCCAUGUCUGAAAUGAAGCUCCACGCGCUAUUGCAACACAUUUUCAAAGUAAAGUGCCUUCGUUCUAGAAGGCAUCUUCCAUUGCUUCGUUCAAAAGAUCAAAAAUGAUUGGUGUACAAUUUUUUUUUUUUUUUUUUACAGAAUGUGUACAAUCUCUCACAAAUAUAUGAGUCUCACGUGAAUAAAUAAUGUUAAAAAAUUAACUCACCCUCCUCCCCCCACCCCCUAUGUGAGGUGUUGGUAAGGGUUCUACUCUGUACACCUAUCAUCACCCUCAAAAGAUCUUUCAUACAAGAACUUUUGUACAUUUGAUUAUUGAUUGAUUUGACAUUUCUGUGUAGACGUUUCUAAAUUAACUUUUCAGCCUACUUUUUAGAUGAUAGAUCUAGACUAUAAGGUGACCAUUUUUUAGAUCAUCUAAUUCACUUCAACCAUAGGACAUUAGAGGUGAUGAUUGUGAGGCUGAUGCAUCGAUCACCAAGACGAGGACAUGUAUCAUUCAUCCAGUGAUAUUGAUAUCUCAUUUUCUAAUAUAAAGCUCACAAUUGGUAUCACGUGAUUUACAUGUGAUACUAAUUUACACCCUCCACAUUCACUUAGCUUGGUAAUAUUAUUUCUCUUAAAAUUUGAUUAUUGUACAUGUGACUCUUGUUCAUUGUCCAUCCUACAUCCAAAUAUAUCCAUAUAGUUGACUAACUUGAUCAUCGUAGUGUCCGUGAUUGUAUCCCCCACCGAUAGAGAAGGACACAUGCACUUAAUGAUAUGUCCAAGUAUGCAGGAGUUUGACACAUUUACAAGAAUGAAAUCGAGAUUUAUUGACCACGCUGUCCAAAAAAAAAAAAUUGAGGUCAACAAAACAUAUAUCCGCAAAAUGUCUUUUUGAGCCCUAUUUUUAGCAAAGAAUGCAUUUUAAAAUUGUAAAUUGAUAGAUAAUGUGCAGUUAAAAAAUUUAAAUUUUUUUGUUUUGCGUGUAAUAUCAUUUUAUUGAAAAAUAUAUAGUUAAAAAGAAGAUAUAGAAAUAUAUAUUUUAAAAAUAAUGGCUAAUAUUGUCUAAAGUCUCAUGUGUAAAGUGUGUGUCCAUUUUGCCUUGGUUUUUCUAUGCAUUUUAGUGAUUGCCUUUGUUUUUUGGACUAUUAUUUUUAAAUUAAUUUUCACUUUAUCGAACCAUUAACGCUUAUUUGCAAGACAAAUUUUAAUUUUGUUAAUUUGUUUGAUUAUAAACUUUUUAAGAUGGUUUGUGUAUAUUAUGAGCAUAUUUUCGUAUUUUUAAUUAUUCAAUUAGUUGUAUCUAGGCUUACACCCUAUGUCACAUUGGUAAAAGGAAAAUUUCAUAAAUAAGAGACUAAUUAUGCACAUUUAAAAACAAGAAAACAAGUUUCAAAUUUCAAAAAUCAGAAUUUUAUUAAAAAUUAUUUAUAAUUUAAUUAAUUUAUUUAGUAAUUAAAUAUAUUUAAGUCACAGAUUUAUAUAAUUUGGUCAAAAAUUAACGAUUUAGUUCAUCACUUGCUAUUUUUUGAUUACAAAUCAUAAAUUUUAUGUCACAAAUUAUUUUACGAUCACAAUACAAAAAUUUUAAAGGUCACAAUUUGUUCAUCGGUCACAAAUCGAAAAAUUUAUAAGUCGCGAUUUAUUUAUUGGUCACAAAUCACAUAUACUAUAAGUCACAACUUAUUACACAAUCACAAAUUAUCAGUCAAAGUUUUUAGGUCACACAUUAUUUUUCGAUCACAAUUUAUCUUUUUCAUUGGUCACAUAUUAUUUAUUGAUCACAUAUUAACCAAUUUAAUGGUCACAGUCAACCAAAUAAUUUGUGACCACUACCAACACUUACGAUUCAUAGUCAUAAUUUUUAAGUCACGUAUCCAAUUUUGAGUAACAGUCACAAUUUUCGGAUCAUAUAUCCAAUUGUGAGUCACGAUCACAGCAACAAUUUUCAUCGUCACGACGGUUGUCGCCACACACCAAUACCAUAGUUGGGAGUCACAGUCACAGUCCACAACCAACCCAACCGUCCCAAAUCAUCGCCACCACCGCCCCCGCCACACACCAACACCACACUCUUCCAUAUCCAUCACUCUUCCACAGAUGGCCAACAUGUCCACAACACCACAUAUCUCCACAGAUUGCCACUGUCGUCACCACACAAACACCUCCACCAGAUCGCUGCCACAUACCAUCACUAUCACCAUUACUGUCGCCACCACUACAUUUUGCUUCACCACAAGCAUCACCACCACCACCAUCACACUACCAUUUGUAAAAUCAUAUCCACCUACACCCAGCCAAUCAGGAACUCGCCAUUGAUCGCCCUAUUCCACCGCAAACAUUAUUCACCUCGUCGGCACCCGCUCCUACACAGAUCUGUCAUCCUCAUCAACAAUCCCAUCAACAGACCUCGCUGGCCUGCCGCUCCAAUAUUCUUCAAAUCGUCGGCAGCCACUUGCCCAACCAACCACUGCACAACAUUGCCACCAGAUCCACCACAACCUGCACAGACCAACUGUAGAGCAACCAUCAUCACCGACCUGACCGAUUUAGCUCUCGACGUUCCCAUUGCGAGCUACGACGACACAGCAAUAGUGAUGUCGCUUCACAUCGUGCACUGCUACUCGUCGUUGCGGGGCUCACACAAGAGGAGUUUUUGCAGCAGCAUCCCUGACGGUGACGAUCUGAUGGUAGAGAUGAGUGGUGGAGAGUGAUGGGAGAGGAGAUAAUGAUUUGGUCGGCUGUCGAUGUUUGAAAAGGAGAGAGAAAGAGAGAGGGAUGAGUAGGCGACUGUAGAGAGGGGGAAUGAAAAUUAAUUAGGGUUGGAUAAUUUUGUAUUAUAAUAUUAAUUUUUAAAUAUAUUAAUUAAUUAAAAAAAUUUCUGAUUUGUGAAAUACUAAACAUGACAUCUUAUUUAUGAAUUGAGAAUUUUUAAUCUGUUAGAAUCUGUAAUUUCCACUUGGUAAAAUGCUUCUCUACCGAAUUUAGGCUUUUCGAAUGAAUAUAAUUAUUUAAUACUUUUAUUUUGCACCCAUUUAUCAAUUAAACCUUACCAUAAAUGAAAAAUCUCUUGAUUUAGUCUCCUUGCAAUUCAAUUUAUUGAAAACCUACAUAAAAUUGUCAUCUUUCAAAAACUCACAUACUAAAACAACACUUUCCGGAUCGAGUUAAGUAAUAGCCGUAAAAGAAGCAACUUUAUGCAAUGUCACGUGUGAAUAUGGUACAUUAUCACAUUGCUCCAAGUAAAUUCACAGCUUGGAAUGGUUGUCAACAAAAUUUAAAGUACAUAAAAUUGUCUUGUCUAUAAUGACUUAAGCUUUACAAUACGGUAGACGACUACUAAUCACCUAUUAUCAGGGUUUUUGGUGGUGUUGGUCCAAAACUACUUAUAUGAGUGACAUCACGAGUCCAUGCCAUUUUAAAUUAAUAACAUUAUUAUUAUUUUAUACAUGUGUGUUGGUCUAUUAAUGAGCACCAUUUAUUUUAUAAAUCUUUGCAAGAGCUCUACUACCUGGAGUGUUGCUUCGUGGACAGGGAUGGGGGCGCCCCCUAUUGGAAGGGCGCCUGUUCCGAUGAAGCAACACUCCUGCUACCUAUGCUUAUCUGUAGAGGAAGUUUGACAGUGUCAGUCGAUUUGAAUUUCUAAAAUUCAAGUGGACCUGCACAGAUUAUCUAUACAAGAAGAAUAAUUUACCUUCACAAUUAGAUAGCAGUACUAAGCGGUGACUGAAUAAAACUUACACUUUUCUUAUUAUUACAAAACCAAACAUCAAACACUAAUUAUUUCUUAUUACACUACAAUCUAACGAUGCCUAAAAACCAACUAUGGUUAGAAAUAACAUUUAGUUGCAAACUUUUCUAUGGACUGAAACACCUGGGCUUUCACUCAUGUCCAAAUCCUCUCCUUUUGCUCCAUUAGGCAAUUCCCAAUCAAAUUUCAGAAUAAUAUUUGCCAACACAAGUUCAUUAGUUGCCAUUGUGUAAGAGAUCCUUGGACAACCUCUCCGACUAGCCCCAAAAGGUAUCAACUGGAAAUCGAGUCCUUCGAUAUCUUUCUGUGAAUUCAAGAAUCUCUCUUGCCAAUGCUUUUUUGGUUUGUCCCAGUAAUUUGGGGCUCGGCAAAUGACCCAUGCAUUGGUCAUGACCAUCGUCCCUGCUGCAAUGUCAUAGCUCAUUAUAUUAACAUCUUUUCUUGCUUCCCGAGCAAUCACUAAUGGGACGGGGGUGUGGAAUCAUAGAGUUUCCUUCACUGCACUUUCAAAUAAUGCAUUUUUCCUAAGUCAGCAUUUGUUAUGUAUGAGAAUUCCCCUCACCCCGGUUUGCAACUUUUUUCAUCACUCUUGGGUGCCUGAAGAGCUCUGUCAUUUCCCAUUCUAGAACUACGGAUAAAGGGAUCCGUUCCAGAGCAAAGAUAUCCUAAAAUAAUCAAGAAUGUUGAAAAAUGUAAUCUCUUAAUAUUUAACAUAAAGUUCAUAGCUUUCAAGCAUUUGCAUCAAUUUUUUUUGCAGCUAAUUAUAAACAAAUCAGUUCUUUAGUAGUUAGUACUAUAAUAUUCUUUACGCGAAACAACACUUCAGCGAUUGAAUUAACUAAAAACCCACAAAAGAAGCAAUCCAAUACAAUUUAAACUCACAAUAACUUCCAAUUUAAUAAGACCCAUCAAAUAUUACACACACCCGAAUGAUAAAAUUUUAUGUAUAUGAAUAUACAACCCGUUUGGUAGCCAUUUUCUUCAAAAUGUAUUUUUCUCUAUCUUCUUUUCAAUCACACAUUCUUUAUUAAAAUAAUAUUACACGUAAAUUAAAAAUUUUUUCCUAUUUUUCAACCACACAUUUCACAUCAAUUUACUAUUUUAAAAUACAUUUUUACAUAAAAAUACCUAUCAACAUCCCCAUAAAAGGAGGCAUAAAAUUACCUGCUGGGCCUUCAAAAUGGGAAUGGAGAUUUUCCUAUUGGGAGUUUGACGGGGUCAUUAGGUUCUGUUGUAUAGGCCUGAAGAAUGUAGGUUUUUUGAGAAAUUGUUGAGAAGAUAAUCUGGGUUUUGCAGUUGAAGACGAUGAUAAUACAUUAAAAUUUUCCAUGUAUUUAAAAUCUAUCCCGGAACUGAAACUGAAAUUCACUAUAUGCGAGUCUCUGUGUGUGUGUGGAGUGUAAUGUCCCGAAAUUUCAUUGAAAGGAAUUUUUUAAUUUUUUUGUACAUUAUAUUUUAAUGUUUUGAAAGUUUAGGGACUAAAAUAUAUAUAAAGUAAAUUUCGAUUUUAUUUGGCUUAAAUGUAGAUAAUGACGGAGCGAUAAUAAAUAUAUAAAUAUUGGGCUCGUUGGAUAGGUCAUAAUUAAUUAUGCAUGUUAGGCUCGAGAAAAAGUUAAUUUGGAUUAGCGGAGCCUAAGUUAUCAAGGUCGAAAAAUAUAGCUUUAUAAUUAUAUUUAAAUUUAUUAUUUAAUGAAUUUAAGUCUCCCUUCUUCAAUUCACGUGAAUAGAGAAGAUUAUUGGUAGAUUAUGAUUGAAUAUUUUUUUUAUCCAAAUAAAGAUAUAAUAAUAAUAAUAAUAAUAAUAAUAAUAAUAAUAAUAUAUAAAAGAAGAGAGGGAGAUAGGACAAUGUGAGAGAGAGAGAAAGAAAAGAAGAGAGCAAAGAGAGCGAAAGAAACUUUAUUUAUUCUAGUUUCAAUUUGUUGGCCACGUGUGGGAAAGGUAUUGCUUGUUGAGUGAUAAACUUGGUUGACAAGAUUUGGUAAAUUAUUUUAUUUCAAAAAGUCCGUUUUCCAAAUUUAUCCAUACUCCUAUCCUACUACUAAACGUAUCCCCAACUACACAUCCACUUUGUUGGACUAUGUAGGAUAUUGAGGUGCAGUAUUUUUUUAUUCCCAUUUAAAUAUUUUUUUAUGCUGAUGAAUUUUAUACUCAUGAAAGUUAAAGUUAUGAUAUGAUAUGCUAUGAUGUGAAUGAUAUAGUCACUCUGGUACAACAAUAUGAUAUGAUAUGAGCUCUUAUCGGAUUUAAAGAUAUGAGACGGUAUGAUAUUCUGAUACAUGUUUUAAAAUUAUUAUAUGGGAUCGCAUCAUAAAUUUUUAUAUCCUACUGUGUAUUUCCAUGUACUCACCCUUUCCCCUACACCUCACAAGUUAGAUUGGGUCGUGUCAGAGCGUGGUUGUUUGAUUGAGUGGUUAUGCCUCAUCCCGCUGGACAAAAAUCUAAAAUUUUAGCACAUAAUUUUAUUUCUUUACCAUAGACAUUUAUUUUAAAAUUAAACUAUCGUUCAUGUUUAUUUGCUACAUGGAUAUUUUUAGAUUGUGCUGUUAUUUAAAAGUGACUCGAAUUAUUUGAUUUUCUUUUAGUGCUACUUAUAUUAAUAAAAGUAAAAUUUUAUUUAGAAUUAAUUAUAUAGGAUAAAACGAAAUAUACGCAUGUACGAUUAUUGCAGAAUGUGGUGGAAUUGGUCAUAUACUCGUAUCCAUAUAUUUAUUUACUUUAUCAAAAUUUUCUGCCAUUAAAUCUAUCCUUUCAGUAAUUAGUCCAUAUCAAGUAAUAAAUGUUUGACAAGACUAGAUGUAGUGUGUGAAUUUUCCCUUAAUAAAAUAAGCCAACUUUUGAUUUUGUUUGCAUUCUCAUAAUUUGGAACCGUGUUAAGACAUUGAAGAAAGAGAAAAGUAUGUCAUGCCUUGAUUUUGGAUUAUUUUGUCCUCUAUAUAUUAUUAUAUAUAUAAAUAGAGAGAGUAUUCAUUACUGUAUAUGUAUACAGAUAUAUAUAGAGUUAAAUGGCAAUUAUUUUAACACGUGUAAAAAGAUUUUGUUUGAAGCAGAUUAAAUUUACAAAUUUAGUUGCCAGAAAUUCUACUUUAUUUGACUGUUAAGGAUGUGUCAGUUAGAAAUUUAAAUUUACGAGCCAUAGUUGUUUAAAAUAACAUUGACCAUUUUAUAAAUAAAUCUUUUGGUAGCGCUUGGGAUUGGCUGGUUAUUAUAGGAGAUUCAUUGAAUGCUUCUCAAAAAUAGCAGGGCCGAUAACUCAGUGGACGAGAAAGGGUGUGAAGUUUCAGUGGACAAAAAAAUGUGAACGAUGUUUUCAAGAACUCAAGCAAAGACUAAUUUCAGCUCCUGUAUUGACGAUACCAGAUGGCUCUGAGGGAUUUGUGAUUUAUAGCGAUGCCUCCAAACAAGAUUUGGGCUGUGUAUUGAUGCAGCAUGGAAAAGUAGUUGCUUACGCCUUGAGACAGUUGAAGCAGUAUGAGCAAAACUAUCCAACUCACGACUUGGAGCUUGCAGCAGUAGUUCAUGCAUUAAAGAUAUGGCGUCAUUAUCUCUAUGGUAGGAGGUGUGAAAUUUAUACAGACCACAAAAGUCUCAAAUACUUCUUCACACAGAAGGAACUGAAUAUGAGACAGAGGAGAUGGUUGGAGUUAGUGAAAGAUUAUGACUGCACAAUUCAUUACCAUCCGGGUAAGGCUAACGUAGUUGCAGAUGCCCUAAGCAGAAAGACAGGAUCACAGUUAGCAGUUCUACUCACGGUACAGGAAUACUUGAUAAGGGACUUUAAGAAACUAAGAUUAGAAGUUAUCAUACCGUCGACUCAGACUACAACGAUGAUUAAAGCAUUUAUGAUUCAAGCUACACUUCGGGAUUGAAUUAGAGAAGCGCAAGAUAAGGAUCCAUUUCUAUAGAAGAUAAAGACUGAGAGUGGUUCAAAUAAACGUGUAGGGUUUGAAAUAUCUGCAGAUAACACGCUGAUUUUCAAAGGAAGGUUAUGUGUACCUAAGGAUGAAAGUUUAAGAAAGGAGAUAUUGGAAAAGACUCACUCUACCCCAUAUUUGGUACAUCCAGGUGGCACGAAAAUGUAUCGAGAUCUUCGAGAUACAUUUUGGCGGAGAAACAUGAAGAGAGGUUUGGUCUGUUCGUGGAGAAAUGUGUUAUCUGUUAGCAGGUCAAAGCAAAACAUCAAAGGCCAUCAGGACUACUGAAACUGUUGGAUAUUCCAAAAUGGAAAUGAGAGCACAUAUCGAUGGACUUUGUGGUAGGCCUCCCGAGGUCAGGUAGAGGUCACAAUGCUAUUUGGGUAGUAGUUGAUCGUCUAACGAAGUCAGCCCAUUUUCUACUAAUCAAAGUAAAUUUCAGUAUGGAACAGCUCGCACAAUUAUACAUUAGGGAAAUAGUCAGAUUGCAUGGAGUUCCUGUCACUAUUGUUUCAGAUAGGGACCCGAGGUUUACAUCAAAAUUUUGGAGUAGUUUGCAGGUUGCUAUGGGGAUAAAAUUGAAGUUUAGUACUACUUAUCAUCCUCAGACGGAUGGACAAUCAGAAAGAACCAUCCAAACUCUGGAAGAUAUGUUGAGGGCAUGUAUUUUAGAUUUUGGUGGUAGUUGGGAAACACACCUACCUUUAGUGGAGUUUGCUUACAACAAUAGUUUUUAGGCCACUAUAGGUAUGGCCCCAUAUGAAACUCUUUAUGGUCAAAAGUGCAGAUCCCCUAUCCAUUUGGACGAGGUCGGGGAGAACAUAAUUUUGGGUCUUGAAAUCAUUAAACGAACAGUUGAGGCAGUUGAUAAAAUUAGAACAAGAAUAAAAGUAGCACAAGAUCGUCAGAAAAGUUAUGCUGAUAGUAUAAGAAAGGAUUUAGAAUUUCAAGUAGGUGACAAGGUUUUUCUAAAGGUAGCACCAAUGAAAAGUGUAUUGAGAUUUGGAAAGAAAUGGAAGUUGAGACCGCGGUUCAUUGGACCUUUCGAGAUCCUUGAAAGGAUUGGUGUUGUGGCUUACCGGCUUGCCUUACCACUUAAACUUACAGCAGUGCAUAAUGUGUUCCAUGUUUUGAUGCUCAGAAAAUAUGUCCAUGAUUCCAAUCACGUGGUAAGUUACCAAGCCUUGGAGGUACAAAAAGAUCUAUCAUAUGAAGAAAUCCAAACAAUGAUUUUGGAUAGAAAAGCACAUCAACUCAGAAAUAGAAAAGUCCCACUGGUUAAAGUGCAAUGGCGAAAUCAUGGACGAGACGAGUCAACAUGGGAGAAGGAAGAGGAGCUUAAAACCAAGUAUCCAGAUCUCUUCGAUUAACUAAGGUAAAUUUUUGAGGACAAAAAUAUUUAAGGAGGGGAGAUUGUAAUGUCCCGAAAUUUCAUUGAAAGGAAUUUGAUUUUUUUGUACACUAUAUUUUAAUGUUUUGAAAGGUUAGGGACUAAAGUAUAUAUAAUGUAAAUUUCGAUUUUAUUUGGCUUAAAUGUAGAUAAUGAUAGAGUGAUAAUAAGUAUACAAAUAUUGGGCUCGUUGGAUAGGUCAUAAUUAAUCAUGCAUGUUAGGCUCGAGAAAAAGUUAAUUUGGAUUAGCGGAGCCCAAGUUAUCAAGGUCGAAAUAUAUAGCUGUAAAAUUAUAUUUAAAUUUAUUAUUUAAUGAAUUUAAGCCUCCCUUCUUCAAGUCACGUGAAUAGAGAAAAUUCUUGGUAGAUUAUGAUUAAAUAUUUUUUUAUACAAAUAAAGAUAUAAUAAUAAUAAUAAUAAUAAUAUAUAAAAGAAGAGAGGGAGAUAGGACCACGUGAGAGAGAGAAAGAAAAGAAGAGAGAGAAGAGAGCGAAAGAAACUUUAUUUAUUCUAGUUUCAAUUUGUUGGACACGUGUGAGAGAGGUAUUGCUUGUUGAGUGAUAAAGUUGGUUGACAAGAUUUGGUAAAUUAUUUUAUUUCAAAAAGUUUUUUUUUCAAAAUUUAUCCAUACUCCUAUCCUAUACUACACGUAUCCCCAACUACACACCCACUUUGUUAGACUAGAUCAUGUAGGAUAUUGAGGUGCAGUGUUUUUUUUAUUCCGUUUAAAUAUUUUUUCAUGCUGAUGACUUUUAUACUCAUAAAAGUUAAAGUUAUGCUAUGAUGUGAAUGAUAUGACCACUCUGGUACAACAAUAUGAUAUGAUAUGAGCUCUUACCGAAUUUAAAGAUAUAAGACGGUAUGAUAUUCUGAUGCAUGUUUUAAAAUUAUUAUACGGGAUCGCACCAUAAAUUUUUAUAUCCUACUGAAUAUUCUCAUGUACUCACCUUUUUCCGUACACCUCACAAGUUAGACCGGGUCGUGUCGGAGCGUGAUGGUUCGAUUGAGUGGUUAUGUCUCGUCCCGCUGGAAAAAAAUCUAAAAUUUUAGCACGUAAUUUUAUUUCUUUGCCAUAGACAUUUAUUUUAAAAUUAAACCAUCGUUCAUGUUUAUUUGCUACAUGGAUAUUUUUAGAUUGUGUUGUUAUUUAAAAGUGAAUCGAAUUAUUUGAUUUUCUUUUAGUGCUACUUAUAUUAAUAAAAACAAAAUUUUAUUUAGAAUUAAUUAUAUAGGAUAAAACGAAAUAUACGCACGUAUGAUUAUUGCAAAAUGUGGUGGAAUUGGUCAUAUACUCGUAUCCAUUUAUUUAUUUACUUUAUCAAAAUUUUCUGCCAUUAAAUCUGUCAUUUCAGUAAUUAAUCCAUAUCAAGUAAUAAAUAUUUGGCAGGACUAGAUGUAGUGUGUGAAUUUUCCCUUAAUAAAAUAAGCCAACUUUUUGUUUUGGUUGCAUUCUCAUAAUUUGGAACCGUGUCAAGACAUUGAAGAAAGAGAAAAGUAUGUCAUGCCUUGAUUUUGGGUUAUUUUGUCCUAUAUAUAUUAUUAUAUAUAUAAAUAGAGAGAGUAUUCAUUACUGUAUAUGUAUACAUAUAUAUAUAGAGUUAAAUGGUAAUUAUUUUAUCACGUGUAAACAGAUUUUGUCUCAAGCAGAUUAAAUUUAUAAAUUUAGUUGCUAGAAAUCCUACUUUAUUUGACUGUUAAGGAUUUGUCAGUUAGAAAUUUAAAUUUACGAGCCGUAAGUUGUUUAAAAUAACAUUGACCACUUUAUAAAUAAAUCUUUUGGUAGCGCCUCAAAUCCUUAAUUUUUGUGUCGUUACAGUUAUUUUUUUGGGUUGCUACAAUCUACCCUCCUUAGGAGAAUUUCAUCCUUGAAAUUUACCUGCGCUAGGAUCUUCCGUGUUCCGUGGCCUGUCCUUGGGCUAAAGUAAAAACUCUGGCAUUUCCCUUCCGUUCUGACUCAUCAUUCUUCUUCAAAAGGUCCUCUUUGCAAUUUUUGGAAAUAUGCCCGAUUUUACCGCAUCUAUAGCACAUAUGCUUCCCAUACAGACAUUCACCUCUAUGCAUUUUCUUGCACUUUGGACAAGGUAGGACGACUUGUCCAAGAACUGGUUCGAAAUUAGCCUUCUUGUUCUGUUCUUCUCCUUUCUCUUUGUUGGACACAUUCCAUUUCCUCUUUCCUGAAAACUCGACCCUUGUUGGGGAGUUUCGUCUAUUUCCAACCUAUUUGAGAUUGCUUGGGCAGUCUGCAAUACUCGGCAAUAGGUGGUGAAUUGGUGGGAUGCCAGUAUUCUACCAAUCUCAGGACGCAAUCCCAAUUCGAACUCCUUACUUUUUUUGCUUCAGUGUCCACUAGGUGUGGUGCAUACCUCGAUAGUUUUUCGAAUUUUCUCUCAUAAUCCUCAAGCUUCAUUUUUCCUUGUUUAAGUUGAAGGAAUUCUGUCUCCUUUUGAUCUCUCAGAGCUUGGGGAAAGUAUUUUCCCAUCACUUCGUCCUUAAAUUGUGUCCACGUCAGAGCACGUUGUUGUGCUUCUGUUCUAGUGUGAGAUGCUAACUCCCACCGGUGGCCUGCAGCGUCAACUAACAUGAAUUCUCCGCAUAACACCUUUUGAGCAUCAGUGCAAGAUAGAUAUUUGAAGAUUCGCUUCAUUCCUCUUAUCCAUUUUUCGGCUGCUAAUGAGUCUGCCUUGCCAUCGAAGGUUGGGGGUUUGUAGCGACGGAACUGUUCCACAAUUGAGCUGAUGUUGUUAGCGUUUGCACCAUGAGGACCAGCCUGUGCUUGUUGCCUACCCAAGUCUUGUACCGCCCUCAGCAAAUCCCUGAUGAUCGUAACUUGAUUUUGCUGUUGUCUUGACAUUUUCUUAACACAAAUAAAAUUUUAAUUUAGAAAUAUUUAAUAAAACAACCUAAUAUUAUUAAUAAUCUUUGUAAUAAUGAAGAACUUUAAAAAUAUAAAUUUCCAAAUUCUUACAUAUAGUAAUGUGCUCUUCAAAAUCAAAUAAAUAAUUAAACAAUUAAACUUUUCAUAAGUAAAUAAAUAACACUUAUUUCUAAUCCCUGUGAGUCCUAAAAAAAAUCUUCUUUUAUGGCAUCUCACCAUCCGAAGUAAUGCAUGACUCUGACUCGGAAUCUGCAACCAAAUCAACAAAAUUUUGUGGUUGGAUUUUCUUGCUCAGGAUCUUCCGGCUCUGGUUCGAUAUCUUUCUCUGGGUCCUCUUCCGGCCCCUCUUCCAGGUCCUCCUCUAGCUCUGGUUCGGGUUUAGGUUCGGGUUCGGGCGCUGGUGCUUGUUGUCUAUGAUGCCAUAAAAUUAUGAUAUCUUCACAGUAUCCUUUAAAAUCAAUCUUAUCCCAAUCUUCUUCCAUAUAUAACUCAUAAUCCAUAUCCCUCACGAAGUAAGCCACGUCUCUCCAUUGAGGUCACAUAGUGCUUAUAAGGUGGUAUAUCGAGAGGACAGUCCCUUCAUUAUAUCCGAAUGAUCUUACUCGCUCCCACUUAUAAAGGAAUCUUCAACAUGUUCAAGAAAAGUUCGCUCCCAUCUUAUUUCAUAGUUUAUGUGGUUCUCAAUGGCCAUUUCAACACACUGGAGGUAUGUUGGAUUAUUCUUAGUUAUCCUAAUCACGUGACAAGUAUAAUUUCAAUUAUGUUUAAUCUUGCAUUAUCAAUAUUAUUUUUAUUCUCAGUGCAUACACGAUAUUCUAGUAAGAUGUAAAAAUAACAAAUAUAUUAUGCGAGGUGAACGUGCUUAUACAUUUUAUGUAGAAAUAUGACACAUAAUCAUACUAGAAAUUAAUAAUGAAAUGAAUUUAUUUCAUACUCGGGAUCAACUAGAGAGUAGUCGAAUGGUUAACGCCACGUGCCAAGUGUUCUUAUAACAUUAUUUGUUUCAAAGUAUGUAUACAAUUUUCAUGUAAUCUCAUUUUACAUAAAAUUUUUCACAAAAUCUCACUUUAUUAUUAUUAUUAUUAUUAUUAUUAUUAUUAUUAUUAUUAUUAUUAUUAUUAUUAUUAUUAUUAUUAUUUUAACUGUAUAUGUAUAUAUCUUUUAAUAAGAUUUUCUCAAAAUAGAAGUUUCAAAAUUUUGAAUUUUCUUAAAUUUGAAAUUGUGAAAAAUAUUGUCUUUCAUCUUGUCGAUUUGAGGCUUCCAGAUGAGGAGGGGGGUCACAGUCGGACUGCUUAGAUUCCAAGCUCUUCUUAGACAGUUUAGGUCUUUUUGACAAAACCUUUCAAUUUUGCAAUUACGCAAUUCAACAAAAUUCAAACAAUAAAUCGAAUGUGAAUUCUCUUAAAAUAUCAAUUUUUCAAAGGUUCAGUUUUUUUUUUUUAAAUCCCCAAAUGCUACAUAAAAGUUUAUCACAUGUAAGAUUUAAACCAUAUGCAUGAAACUAUAACAAUUUAAAUUCUAAACUACUAUUACUCGAAAUCAAUUUAAACAAUCAUUUAUUCUUCAAAAUAAAGAGACUAAUGCAUAAUAGAUGGGUAUUGAUGUUAAUGAUAAUCCAAACUACUACAAAUGAGACAAAAUCUAUAUAAAAAAAAUUUACAAUAUUCAAAGUAUGUCACAUCAUAAUUAAAAGGGAAAAUUGCAGCCGAGGUACUAAACCUUUCGUUUAUUAGCAGACUUUACCCAAACUUUUAGUUUGUGCCACCGGAGAUAUCAAACCUUUAAAAAAUGAGUGGGGCCAAUCCAAAAUGACGGUUUCCAUCUGUUUGACCGUCAAAACCGUCAGUUGACCCUCUAAUGAUAUUUUCAAGAAUUUUCCCCAAAUAAGUGAAGGGCAACAUGGGCAUUACACAUAUUUCCCUCCUAUUAUAUACUUUACUGUUUAUUUCCCUCCAUUUCUUUACCACUAUAUUACCUCCUACCUUCUCUCUCACAGGUAGUAAAAAAAAAAUCAGCACGCACAUGGAGUUGAAUGUAUGCAGAUGUGGUUUCCCAGUGCAGAUGAAGACCUCGUGGACGAACUUGAACCCGGGAAGAAGAUUUCUCACUUUUCCUCGAAGCCAAGAUGUGGGUAGAUGCACCUUCUUUAUGUGGUGUGACCCUCAGAUAUAUGAGAGAUCGAAGGAACUGAUUCCUGGUCUAUUACGAGCUAGGAGGGAAAUGGAAGCUGAAAUCAACACCCUUCAAGCAACAAGACCAAAUGUGUGGAAGAUCUGGCUCUUUGGCUUUGUGUGUGGAGUGUUUGCAAAAUGGGUUUGUUCCUAGGUAUGUAGCGUCAGAUUGUAGGAUUUUAGUAUUUAGUUCCAGAAAUUUGAGUUUAGGGUUUCGACAUGGAGCCAUGUGCUAGAUGUUGUGAAAUGCAUAUGUAAAAAGGAAAAAUUGUGUUAUACCUUUUGACUUGAAAUUUAACGAUCUUUUCCUGGCCUCUAUGUAAAAUGUGAAAUUAAAAGAGCUGAUUACACUUCAAACUUAUCUGAAGAAGGUACAGCAUAGGUACCAAACCUUAUAACGAUUCGCAGCCGAGGUACCAAACCUUUUCUAAUGGGUUCAUACAGAAUACCAAACCUUUAAAAACAUUGCAGUAAAGGUACCAAACGUUUGAUAAUACUUUCAGAGGAAGUAUCCAACAUUUUCAUAUAUUUCCUAAUCGCUUACACAUCAGAUUUUAUGAAUACAAUUUCAGAAACCAACGACAAACAACAGAAACAUAAUGCAAGAAAUUCGACAUCAACAUUAUCAUCACAUUCAACAAUUUCAUCAAAAAUUCCUGUUACAUCUACAAAAUAACAGCAUUUGAAGCACAUAUUUUCAGUCCAGUUUACAAAAAACCACAGCAUUUUCCCAAAAAAGUAACUAUACAAGAAACCACAUGAUGUUCAAGAUUUCGAUCGUCUAUUGUUGGACUUCUUUGUCUGUGACUUGGAGGUUUCCGUUGAAUGUGUUUUUCUCUUUCCCUUUGCUGAUCUGGUAUGUGUAUCUUCUUGGGACUCUGUUUGUGUGGUUGGUUGAGACUAUUGCUGUGAACUAUCUUCACCAGGCAGCGCUCCCUUACAGCUUCUUUUGUUAUGUCCAGACCCUCCACGGCGUUUACACGUCAUCUUAAUGCCAGUCCUUCCCAUCUUAACGGCUGCAGGUGGCUCUGCCUCUGACCUCUUCCUCAUUUUUUUGGGUCUGCCAGCCUGUUUUCUCUUCUGAGGUUGAUUGAGAGGAUGCUUUCUCAAUUCUGGCCACAGUUCAGGCCCUGACAUCGGGUGGAUCACUGGGGAGGUAUGUUUCCUUGCUAUACCAUGGGUCGAAGUACUCAUAUAUGCCAAUGUCCCUUGAAAGCAUGCCUGAUAUUGCAUGGGGACAUGGUAUUCCAGUGAGCUGUCAUUUUCUGCAUGCACAUGCAUGUUUUGUCAAGUCAACGCUCCACCUCAAAUCGUAUCUGCUACUUAUCUCAAAUUUAUGAUUGCCUGUAUAGUCUGCCUUCAAAUACUUUGCCUCAGACUCAGCCUUCUCAAUGAUUUUCACAAUUCUUGGCUCGAAUGCAUUAUCCCACCUCUAUGCUGCUUCACUUUUUGCGUUCAUCCUUAUCAUUUGCUGAUGUCGAAUUUUCUCUAGCAUCUAGAUGAUGGGCCUGUCUCUGGCAACAAUGGAAGAAUUGAAUGCCUCACACAAAUUAUUAAGAAGAAUAUCACAUCUCGAAUGCUCUUCAAAAUGGGAUCUGGUCCACUGGGAAUGAGGUUUUUCAAGGAACCAGUUGUAAGCCUCUUCACUUAUAUCUUUUAACUCAUUCAUUGCACUCUUCCACUCUGGCACUGUUGUUGCCCUUGCUGCAGUCCAAAAGAGGUUAUUAAGGGCCAGACCUUUGUAUGCCAAGGUGAAAUUGCUGUAAAGAUGUCUAGCACAACACCUAUGCUCCGCUCCUUCAACGUAUUAACUUAUGGAAUCCACCAAACCCUUUUGUUUGUGGGAAAUGAAUGUCCAAACUUGAGGGUUGUGCAUCCAUAUGUCACGAACCAACAUUUUUAUAAACCAUUAUCAGUUUGUUUUGUUCUCUGCAUCCACAACUGCCCAUGCUAAUGGGAACAUACAGUUCUCACCAUUGAUGCCAACAGCUGCCAACAACUGUCCACCUUCUGCAGAUUUUACGAAGCAUCCAUCCAACCCAACAACUGGGCUACACCCAGCUUUAAACCCUUCCUUACAAGCACCUAUGCAGAUGUACAAUCUCUUAAAAGUAUGUCCCGAACCUUCGAUUUGCACUGUACUGCCUGGAUUUGUUCUCUUCAAUUCCUCACUGUAAUCCCAUAAAAUUUUGUACUGCUCAGCUACAAUUCCAUUAAUAACUUCUGUACAUUUCGAUCUUGUUGUGUAGAACUGAUGCUUUGAAAUCUCAUAUAUGCAGUCCUCUUUCACAUUCUCCAUAAAACUACUCAUUGGAAUGUUGGGAUCAGACCUAAAUUUUCUCACGUAUUUCUUUGCUAGAAAACCUGAAUUAACCCUUUUAUUUUUCCACACCAUGGUACAUGUGUGCUCAUCUACCAAUGCGUUAAUUCUAAGACUCUUAUUGGGUUGUUGGUACGCAUACAGAACCCAAGGUCAAUUAUCUUGAUACCGAACUCUCACCCGUGUCCUCAUAUUUUUCACGUAUCUCAGUUGCCUGGAAUUUUUGACUGAGUAUUGAACUACUGCAUUCCUCAGAAUCUUGACGUUGUCAAAUUUCAUCCUUGGCAGAAAUGAAUUAAACCAGAAUGCAUUAUCAUCCAAAUGAAUUAAACCAGAAAUGAAUUAAACAAAACAAAUGCAUCACCUAGCUUGAACUGUGGAUUAUCCAUAUCAGUUGCAGGGUUAAACCAACACACAUUCUUCCUUCUGGCAGAUGAUCCCUCAGCCUCCGUAUCACUAGGUAAGCUUCUAAGCUCAUUGGAGUCUUAGUAGUCCGUUCCAGAUUCUUCCCCUGCAGCUGCCUGACCUUCCUGCUCAUCCCUUAUACCUUCCUGCUCAACACUUACACUAAUGUCAAAACCUUCACUCACCCUGAAAUAUGUGUUUUCAUCAUUAUCAUCCACAACAAUAUUUUCUUCCUGCUCGUACUCCGAGUCAUUGAAUUCCUCUCCCAAAAUACCCUCCUCAUAUUCAUCAUCCUGCUUAGGAACAUCAUGUUCCACAUCAUGCUCCAUACCAGUUUCAGCAACCGGUACGUCAACAUGCGGUUCAUCAAGCUCCACAUUAGUUUUAGCAGCCUGCACCUCUAGUUCGGCAUCAUGUAACUUAUGUUCAGCAGCCUACACCUUAUGCUAAGCCUGCUGCUGUGGUUCAGAAGCAUGCACAUCAAUUUUAGCAGUCUGCACCUCUGCUUCGGCAUCAUGUUUAGCAGCAUGCAGCUCCUGCUGAGCCUGCUGCUGUGGUUCAGAAGCAUGCACAUCAGUUUCAGCAGCUUGUACCACUGCUUCAGCGUCAUGCAACUCAUGUUCAUACAUCAACUGUGGUUCAACAUCAUGUGGUUUCUCUGGUUCAACAGCAUGCACUUCUGGUUCAUGUGAGUCUACUUCAGCCCCUAUAAAAUCAACCUCUGUAUACUCAUGCUCUGUUCCAUGCACUGUAACAUCUUCGAUGUAAUCUCCUGUAAGGAAAACUUCAUCUUCAUCUGCUUCCAUGUCAUCCACUUCAUCAACUACAUACACAUCAUCACCUUCUACUGAUUCGUCAUAAAUCUCAACAGCAUAGCAUGUUUGCUGCUCAUUCAAUGCUUCACCAGACUUUUGAACCUUCACCAACUCCUCACCAGUCUCACAAUCAAACACUUGAACAUCCUUCUAUUAUGUUUCGUCCCAAGGCAACUCCAAAACCUCAAUUACAGGCAAGCAAUACAGUUCAGCUGUCCUAUUAUCACCAAGCCACUUCACUAAAUUCAUGAAAUCUGAGUUUUUUACCAACCAAAAUGAAGCUUCACUCAUUCUUUUCUUCUCCAUCUUGUACAUAUAUCUAAUUCUAUCAGAAUAUCCUAAUAUCUUCAUGGCAUUGUCCAAAAGAAAUCUAUUGAAGAAAUCAGGGUCGAUAAAGUCUAUAUAACUUAUUUUCCCAUGCUCAUACACAAAAUUUCUCAUCUUCUGAAAUAAAAUUCCACCAUGAUGAAGCUGUAUGCUGAAGUACUUUGAAUUUUCCCCUGAAAAAACACCGAAAAAAAUGAAGUUAAGUUUCAGUUCGAGCAACGAACAUGUGCAGAAAAGAUAGUACACAAACAUUACGCUCUAAUACACCAAAUCACUUAAAAUUUUUGAAUUUCCCAGUACAUGAAGAUAAUCUAAUAGGGGAACUUCAUAAUCAUACAAUUGUACACCGUAAAUUGAAAAAAGGGGAACACACUUACCAUACACGGGUUGGGGAAGAGAGCCUCGAAUGUGGGCUGUAAUGUCCACUGGAUGUUCGUCUUCUUCAACGUACGUUUCGUCUUCUUCGUGGGUUGUCGCAGGGUCCAUAGUGGAUGGUGAGUUGAAUGAAGUUGCAAUUGACGUGUUUGAUGUUGAGGAGGGAAAUGUAUGUAAUGCCCAUGUUGCCCUUCACUUAUUUGGGGAAAAUUCUUGAAAAUAUCAUUAGAGGGGUCAACUGAUAGUUUUGGCGGUCAAACAGAUGAAAAUCAUCAUUUUGGACUGGCCCCACUCAUUUUUUAAAAGUUUGGUAUCUCCGGUGGCACAAACUAAAGGUUUGGGCAAAGUCUCCUAAUAAACGAAAGGUUUAGUACCUCGGCUGCAUUUUUCCCUAAUUAAAAUCAUAGAACUCUUUGCCAUGUCAUGAAAAAUAAUAAUUAUUUUUUUUGUCUUUACAGUUCACGUGAACAGUAAUUGUACUGUUCUGUUCACGUAACACUGUUCAAAUUAUUUUUUUUACUGUUCACGUGAACUGUUCCAGAAUUUUUUUUUCAGAAACAAGUCUACAGAAAAGUCAAACCGCGCUCUAAUACCAAGCAGUAACGUCCCAAUUUUUUAUAAACUCUGGAACGUUACGAAAAACUCAUUUUUCUUUAUUUUAAGAGUGGAACUAUAAAAAUAAAAUUCUUUAUUAAACAAAUAACUGCAACAUUUAAUAAUCUAAAUUUAAAACAUGAAAAUGGUAACUAAACAUAACAUAAACUCCUGGCUAAUUCAAAUAACACGUUUGGAACAAAAUUAAACUAAUUGCUAAAUAUAAAGAUGACAAACUUAUUUCUUUUUCUUUUCAUUUGAUCUACUUGACAGCCCGCAUCACCAUUCCACAUCGUUCCAAUCGACUCGAACUAACCUAUAAAAAUUUGUAAGAAUCAGUAUUCGAAAACAACCAGUAAAAUACGUGCAAUUUUCAUAUACAGAUAUAUAACAAUAAAAAUUACAAUUCAUACCAUCUGAUCUUAUGGAGUAUAUCGAUGACCAAGCGACACACCUAUCUUAGGUCCUCUUAUAAUCCCGUAGGAUUUCAUAUCUCUCUAAAAACUAGUCGCUAUCACGUGCAUUGCACGAAUUUUGUAUUUAUCGUAUUUUUAUUAAUAUAUGAAUUUUAGUUUUUUGAAAAGUUUUUGAAGGAAUAUAUAAAAGUACUUCUAUGAUAUAAGAAAAUAAUUACAAAUUAUUUUUACAAUUGCAUAACAGUAUGUUAUCUAGAAAAAUAUUCUUGUAUAUUUCAUGUUUGAAUAAGAAAUAUACAAACUAUUAGUGUUGAUAUGAUUGAAUUGAAUGUGAAGAUUAUAUUUCUAAAUUUUGUGUAAUUCAAUAUUGUAAAAUUGAAAAAAAAACACUUCGCAUGGUGCGGAGACAGUUCAACCAAGUGCGGAGUAAAAAUAAAAAUUAAAAAAAUGUGCGGAGAGAAAAAACUUUAGCAUGAUGCGUGUGGGGGAGAAUAUUUGUCAAUCAUGAUAAAAAAAUUCUUCACAAAAUAUAAAAAAUAAGCUAAUAAAAUUACAAUAAAUUUUUUUUUACAAAUAACAUAAAAAAAUCAUUUUUAUCUUCAAGAAAAAAACACAUUUAAAAAUUAGCAAUUUCAUAAAUUUUUUUUUUAAUUCUCGAAAAUAGAAUUAUAAAAAAUGAAACAAUAUUGAAUUAAAUAUUUAAUACUCAAGAAAUUCAAUAUUAAAUAAAUUUUAUACAUUUAUAACAAAUUAUAGAUCAGCUUACCGUAUUUGCAGGUAGCUUACCGUAUGUGCUGCCUACCGUAUUUGCAAACAAGUUACCGUAUUUGCACCUUACCGUAUUUGCUGCCUACUGUAUUUACAACUUACCGUAUUUGCUGCCUACCGUAUUUACAAACAAGUUACUGUAUUUACAGCUUACCGUAUUUGCACCUUACCGUAUUUGUUGCCUACGUAUUUACAACUUACCGUAUUUGCAGCCUACCAUAUUUGCAAAUAAUUUACUGUAUUUUCACCUUAUCUAUUUGUAGUUUACCGUAUAUGUUGUCUAUCGUAUUUGUAACUUACCGUAUAUGCUGCCUACCGUAUUUGCAGCUUCUCGUUCGAACCUCCGAUCCAUUCAGUAAAAGUGUUACUUGCUUUACUUCUUUGUUUCGUGUCAUUGCUACUAUUGGUAGUACGAAAUUAGGUAUUUAAUUUAAAAGAUAUAUACCGUUCUAUUCUUCUGAUGUCCAAUUUUGAGCCCCUAUUCUUUUUGUAAUGAGAGAAUUGGAUGAAGCUGUUUUAAGGAUUUUUUUUUUAAUGUAAAGAGAGCACUAAACGACGUUGGCCAAUCCAUUAUUUAGCGAGAAACUCCAAACAUGGAAUGAGAAUUAGAGCUAAAAUUAUGUAUUAAUAAUGGAGAAUGAAUAUGUCCAGACAAAUUGGAAUAUUGAGUCAUACAACCUACCUAGUCUCAAUAUGUCCCUAAGUACAAUGUGAAAAAAAAAAAAAAAAAAAAAACUUAGCCCAAAGAUCUGUUGAAAUUCAAAUAAUGUAAAAAAUUUGCAAAAUAUUCGUUGAUAGACUUAGUGAUUUACGCAUUUUAAGUGACAAUUUCCUGCACGGGCUUAAAGUCUUAUAUGGCCAGGCUAGGUUAGUAUAAAUAUGUUGUAACCCUAUUUUUCACUACUGAAAAAAGAAAUCUCCGCUUCGCUCUCGUGGACGUAGGCACAAUUCUUGUGUUGAUUUUCUUUUUCAUCGCUUUAAUAUUGUGCAUAAAAUCUAACAACAUAAAAUAAAUAUUAUAUAUAUAUAUAUAUAUAUAUAUAUAUAUAUAUAUAUAUAUAUAUCAAGUUGGGUGGUAUGGCAUUAUCAAUAUCACCUUCUUUGAAAUUGUCAUCUAUAGAUUUUUAAAAGUGUUGUCCCAAAAAAAAAAGAAAAAAAAAUUUGGUGUGGAGCUGUGCGGACAUUCCGCACGCUUGCGGGACCCUCGCACGAAAUUGGUGCGGGAAACCCGUCUGCAAAAUCAUUCAUAAAGUGUAUAUUUUGUUAUGGACUGAUGAAAAAGAAGAAAUAAGGAGAAUGCAGAGAAAAGGGGAAGAAUCUCACAGUAACGAACCCAAAAAUGUGUUGCCUGUGCGCACAGCAAAGCAAAUUGCACCCAAGAAUAACUUGUGUUGGUGCAGCAGUGGCUCUAAAAUUCGUUGCUCGAUGACACCAGCCAAUACUUGGUAUCUGUUGGAGAAUAAAAAAAAUCAGCAGAUAUUUUUACAUCUUGGUUUUAUCUUAAACCAUAGAAGCAGCCCUUCACGUUAUAUCGAGCAAUCAAAUCAGAUUUUAAUAAAUCGUUUGUGAAACUUUAUACUUAGUAUAAGUAUGCCAAAAAAGGGUAAUAUGCUGAUUCACAUACCGAAGAUUGCUGGAUACUGCCAUAUAGACACCAUAUGCAACACUUGUUGAGAGUAUGGGGACAUUUUACACCUCCUCCGCGGCAGUGUGAUCGACAACCGUUUGAGCAUUUAUCAGUGUAUUCGUCACAACCGUGCCAACCUAGACAUGAAUGAAAUAAUUUAUGUUCCUCAGCUUUGACUUAAUUAUUUAUUCAUCUGUAAUUCUAAGAAAUAAGAGUAAUAAUUACGAAAACGAACUAUAUACCUCCUUCAUGCAGAGAUAAUUAAUGCAUGUAGCAGCUAGAAGUUACUGAGAGUAAAAUUACUGUUUGGUAAGGUUGAUUCCACAUUACCAAAUAGUAUCAAAUAAGAAAAAAAAUGGGUAUGUUGUGCUAUAUAGUACUAUCUAAGUUUACUUUUAAGUAAUAAGUUCAUUUUAAAAUGAAUUAACAUUUUAACUGGUCACUUUUUUUGACUGUGGGAAAGAGCUAUUUCCAAAAUAAGUUACUUUUUUUUACUUAAAAUAAGGAAAAAGUAACAUAUCCAAGUAUGUUUACAAAUGAGAAGUCAUAAUCCAUGAUGGACAGCAAACUGAAACUCUAAUUACAUCAAGUCCCCCAAAGAGGAAAUUUACCAAAGAUGAAGUGGUCCCAACAGCAAAGAGCUUUGCUCCACUCACACCCAUUCCCCUUAUUUUUUGAUUGAAAAUGUUGAUUAGUAAGAAAUUGAAAAAAUAGGAAAUUAUAACAAAAAAUGCAUUUGAAAAGUUAUAUUAUAUAAAAAAAACACCACCAAAAAAAAAAAAUAUAUCUCCAAAGAGUUCGUAGAGAUGAAUUCAUCUCUGCGAACUAUGCGGAGAGAUCACUCUUUCUCCGCACUCUUCGCACACUCUCCGCACAGUGAGGAACUUCAAAAAAAUUUCUCUAACAAUAACAAUAACAAAUUAAACUAAAAACUAAACAUAAUUAUUAUAUAAAAAAACAACUACAAAAUUAGCCUGUUCAAAUUGCCAAAAAAAUUAGUAAGUUGAACUUUCGCAGAGAGUUCUGAACUCAUGCGCUAUCUGGCACCUUUUUUUUUGUUUUGACAAAAUCUAAUCAAAAUAAAUACAAGCACCAAAGAAGCAUAAACACUACUAAAUACAACAUGUUAAGCUGAAGGUUCUUAAACGUCGAUCUGCAAAACAAGGUUGCACUUCAUGCAUCAGAUUUUUGAGUUGAGGAUUCUCAAUGCACGUGUGCUUUCUCUUUCUUUCACACGCUCGUCUAUUCUUAAACCAAUCACCAACAUUUUUUUCCAGAAAUAACAAGAUUGUGUAACGAUAAGGUGAAGACCAUAUGUAGAAUUUCUGCAUUAUUUGGACUUUUAUUUCUUCCAUCAAAUAUGGAUCAAAGAACAUGUAAGUAUCCAACGUUGUUAUCUUCCCAUGCCUAUAGCAAGCUUAAAAGCCAAGAAAAAAAAAGAAUCAAAGAUGAAGUGAGAAUAUGUGAUCCAACAAGAACAGAUUUCACGAAAAAGUAGGAAUGAAAAUAUCAAUAAAAAGGAAUAAAAAGGGAAAUAAGGAGCAUGGUCGUGGAGUAUGGUUAGCAUGGUUGUUGACAUGGUCGAAGUAAAGAAUUUUUUUUUAUUCACAACAAAAAAAAAAAGAGGGAAAAGAGCGUGAACAGUAAAACGGGAUUGGUUUACUAUUGUGUUUACAGUGUCAUCCCAUUCACGUUUUUAAUAGAAGUUAGAAAACGAAUGUCUACUGACAAUCCAUGCAUUUUUUAUUGAACAUAAACGCACAAGGAAACAAAAUCACGUGCACCUAAAGUAUCUUACCUCGUUUAUUUAAGAGUUGCAAAAUAGUUUCUUGUCUUCUAGUUCCCAAAAGUACUCUCUCUCUCUCUUUCUUUUUUUCUUAGUGUGUAUGACUCUUGGUGUGUGAAUUAUGGAAUCAAUGUAUGGUAUUUAUAGCAAUAAAAAGUAGUUGAAUUAUACUAGAAAACAUGUACCAUAUUGGAUAAAACCUAGUUUUGGAUUAUUUUUUAAUAACAAUUUAUAGCUAUCCAAUUAUGAUGCUAGCUAUCACAUCAAAUUCAAUAUAGAUUAAUAUUAAUCUUUAAAUUAAAAUUCAAUUAUCACUUUACACAUUUUUGGAGAGAGAAAAUGAAUUGAUUUAUAAAUAGGAUAAAAUUCCAUUUAUCCUAUUUUCUUUCAGUUGGGUCUAACUUAAUGCGUUCUUAUCGAAAAUAAUUUUUUUCUCGAGUCAAAGACUUCUAAUUAAUUACGAGCUAUUCAUCGAGUACAAUAUUGAUAUACUUAUAAUUGCUCUAUCAAAAUUUAAUUUAUUUGACCUAGAUAAAAUUGGGGCGUUACAGCUUGGUAUUAAUCUACGUCCCAAUUUUCUGUAAACUUUGGAACGUUAUGAAAAACUAAUUUUUUCUUUAUUUUAAGUGCGGAACUAUAAAAAUAAAAUUCUUUAUUAAACAAAUAACUGCAACAUUUAAUAAUCUAAAUUUAAAACAUGAAAAUUGUAUCUAAACAUAGCAUAAACUCCUGACUAAUUCAAAUAACACGUUUGGAAUAAAAUUAAACUAAUUGGUAAAUAUAAAGAUGGCAAACUUAUUUAUUUUUCUUUUCAUUUGAUCUACUUGGCAGCCCGCAUCAUCAUUCCACACCGUUUCAAUCGACCCGAACUAACCUGUAAAAUCUUGUAAGAGUGAGUAUUCGAAAACACCCAGUAAGAUACGUGCAGUUUCCAUAUACAGAUAUAUAACAAUAAAAAUUACAAUUCAUACCAUCUGAUCUUAUGAAGUAUAUCGGUGACCAAGCGACACACCCAUCUUAUGUCCUCUUAUAAUCCCGCAGGAUUUCAUAUAUCUUUAAAAAAACGAAUGUAUAUUGGCAAUCCAUGCAUUUUACGCAUAAGGAAACAAAAAGACGUGCACCUAAAGUAUCUUACCUCGUUUAUUCAAGAGUUGCAAAAUAGUUUAUUGUCUUCUAGUUCUCAAAAGUACCCUCUCUCUCUCUCUCUUUUUCUUUUUUUCUUAGUGUGUAUAACUUUUGGUGUGUGAAUUAUGAAAUCCAAGUACGAUAUUUAUAGUAAUAAAAAGUGGUUGAGUUAUACUAGAAAACAUGUACCCUAUUGGAUAAAAUCUAGUUUUGGAUUAUUUUUUAAUAACAAUUUAUAGCUAUCCAAAUAGGAUGCUAGGUAUCACAUCAAAUUCAAAAUAGAUUAAUAUUAAUCUAAAAAUUAAAAUUCAAUUCCCACUUUACACGUUUUUAGAGAGAGAAAAUGAAUUGAUUUAUAAAUAGGAUAAAUUUCUAUUUAUUAUAUUUUCUUUCAAUUGGGUCUAAUUUAAUGCGUUCUUAUCCAAAAUAACUUUUUCUCGAGUCAAAAACUUCUAAUUAAUUAUGAGCUAUCCAACGAGUACAAUAUUGAUAUACUUAUAAUUGCUCUAUCAAAAAUUAGAAACAAGUUGAGGACUAAAUUAUUUUGGAGAGAGAAGAUGAAUUAAUUUAUAAAUAGGAUAAAAUUUUAUUUAUCCUAUUUUCUUUCAAUUGGGUCUAAUUUAAUGCGUUCUUAUCCAAAAUAACUUUUUAUCGAGUCAAAAACUUCUAAUUAAUUACCAAGCUAUAAUGUUCCAAUUUUCUAUAAACUCUGAAACGUUACGAAAAACUCAUUUUUCUUUAUUUAAAGUGCGGAACUAUAAAAAUAAAAUUCUUUAUUAAACAAAUAACUGCAACAUUUAAUAAUCUAAAUUUAAAACAUGAAAAUUGUAUCUAAACAUAUCAUAAACUCCUGGCUAAUUCAAAUAACACGUUUGGAACAAAAUUAAACUAAUUGGUAAAUAUAAAGAAGUCAAACUUAUUUCUUUUUCUUUUCAUUUUAUCUACUUGACAGCCCGCAUCACCAUUCCACACCGUUCCAAUCAACCCGAACUAACCUGUAAAAAUUUGUAAGAGUGAGUAUUUGAAAACACCCAGUAAGAUACGUAUAGUUUCAGUAUACGGAUAUAUAACAAUAAAAAUUUACAUUUCAUACCGCUCUGCUCUUAUGGAGUAUAUCGGUGACCAAGCGACACACCCAUCUUAGGUCCUCUUAUAUCUCGUAGGAUUUCAUUUAUCUUUUUAUAGAACUCGAAGAUCCACUAGCAAUCCAUACAUAUUUAAUUGCAUAUAAAAGCAUAUAGAAAUGAAAACAACUUGCACAUAUCUAUCUUACCUUGUUUACUUAAGAGUUGCGAAAUAGUUUAUUAUCUUCUAGUUUCCAAAAGUUCUAUCUCUCUCUCUCUCGCUCUUACGUGUGUAUAACUUUUGGUGUGUGAAUUAUGGAAUCCAUGUAUAGUAUUUAUAGUAAUAAAAAGUGGUUGAAUUAUAAUAGAAAACAUGUACCCUAUUGAAUAAAACCUAGUUUAGAUAUUUGAAUUAUAUUUUAAUAACAAAUUCAUAGUUAUCCAAAUAGGAUACUAGCUAUCACAUUAAAUUCAAAAUAGGUUAAUAUUAAACUAAAAAUAAUAUUAAAAUUCAAUAACCACCCACACGUUUUUGGAGAGAGAAAAUGAAUUGAAUUAUAGUUUAUAUAAAAUUAUAUUUAUCCUAUUUUCUUUCAAUUGAGUUUAACUUAUUGUGUUCUUAUUCAAAAUAUUUUUUUCUCGAGUCAAAGACUUCUAAUUAACUAUGACCUAUAAAAUGAGUCAAAUAUCGAUAUACUAAAUCUCGCUCUAACAAUAUCUAAUUAUUUGGAUCAAAUAAAAGAGGAAUUUAAAACAUUUUUCAUUUUAGUCCUCAACUUAAAAAAAUUGUAAAUAUAUAAUAUAUAAAAUAAAUAAAUUUUAUUCUAAAAUUUUCGGGGCAUUACAGUCUCCUCUCCUUAAAAGAAUUUCGUCCUCGAAAUUACCUCAAUUAAUUGAAAUAUUUUGGAUACUUGACUUUCACAUACUUAUAAUAUUUCAUAACAUGAAGCAAGGAAACUAAUAAUCAGCGAUAGAAUGAAAUUUCAUUUCAUACCUUGGGUCCAUCGGAGAGUGGUCGGAAAAGUGAGCAUUGCAUACCAAGAAUUUUUUUAUAUCAUUACAUCAAAGUGUGCUAAAACUUUACAAAGUUAUCCUUUAACUCGUAAGUCUCAUAAAAAUAUUUUAUUUUUUUAUAUACAUCUUCUUCUUCUUCUUCAUAGAUUACUAAAAAAUAGAGCUAAACAUGUAAAUAUGCUUAGUCUAAAACAUGGGCAAUAACUCAACUGCAAUUUAGAUAUAAACUGUCAUCAAUUCAAAAUCCAUCCAAAAUAUUAUUAUUUAACAUCAAUUUGAAUUCAAUUUAAAACUAUUAUUUAGUUAUUUAAAACAAUAGUUAAUAUCAAUCCUCAAACAACAGAAAAGAAAAAGGAAAAUCUAAUUAUUAUUUUUUUUGAAUGUUUGAAAUAUUUUUUUCGCCUCGUCGAUUCGAAUAACGCGCAAUCAAAAGGCUUCUAGAUGAGGAGGAGGGGUCACAGAUGGACCGCUUAAAUUCCAAACUCUUCUUAAACAAUUUAAAUCUUUUUUGACAAAACCUUUCAAUUUUACAAUUACACAAUUCAACAAAACUCAAACAAUAAGUCUCACAUGAAAUUUCUUAACAUAUAAAUUUUCAAAUUGGUACAUUUUUAAAACAUCCCCAAAUGCUAAAGUGAAAACACACAAAAAUUUAUUACGUGUGAACUUUAAAUCAUAGGCAUUAAACCAUAACAAUUUAAAUUCUAGACUACUAUUACUCGAAAUCAAUUUAAGUAACUAUUUAUUCUACAAAAUAAAAGAAUUCUUUUUUUUUUUUGUCUACCGAAUCGAUUUUAUAAACCUGAGCUCUGAUAUCAUACUAUAACGCCCCAAAUUUUAUAAACGCUGGGGGUAUGUUGGUUAUUCCUAGUCAUCCUAAUCACGUGAUAAGUAUAAUUUCAAUUAUGUUUAAUCUUGCAUUAUCAAUAUUAUUUUUAUUCUCAGUGCAUACACGAUAUUCUAGUAAGAUGUAAAAAUGACAAAUAUAUUAUACGAGGUGAAUGUGCUUAUACAUUUCAUAUAGAAAUAUGACUUAUAACCAUGCUAGAAAUUAAGAAUGAAGUGAAUUUAUUUUAUACCCGGGAUCAACUGGAGAGUAGUCGAAUGGUAAGCACCACAUGCCAAGUGUUCUUAUAACAUUAUUUGUUUAAAAAAAAUUUACAUUAUCCUUUAAACUCCCUAUUUUCUUCCUCUUUUUUUUUUCUUUUUAAAUAAUUGACUAUAAUUAUUUAUGAAUUUCUUGGAAUAGAAAAAGUCAAGAAAUAAAAGUUCCAAACAACAGUAUCAUUAUUUAAAACCACGUUAUAAAUGGUUAUUUAAACACAAACAUAUAAUACAUACAUAUACAUUAUUGAAAAUAAAAUCAUAGUAAUAACACAUAAGUACUAAUAAAGCAUAUAACAACCACGUAGUAUUUUAAGAAAUUAACUUAUAUUAUAAAAAUUAAUAUUUACUUAAAGGUAAUUGGGCUAACAUUUGAAAGAUUGGUUUCAAAGUAUGUAUACAAUUAAGCGGUCCGUCUGUGACCCCCCUUCUCAACUGGAAGUCUUUUAAUUGUGCGUUAUUCAAAUCGACAAGAUAAAAGACAAUAUUUUGGACAAUUCCAAAUUUAAGAAAAUUCAAAAAUUUGAAACUUCUAUUUUGAGAAAAUCUUAUUAAAAGAUAUAUACAUAUACAAUUUAAAAUAAUAAUAAUAAUAAUAAUAAUAAUAAUAAUAAUAAUAUAUUAUAAUAAAGUAAGAUUUUGUGAAAUUUUUUAUGUAAAAUGAGAUUGCAUGCAUGUAAUUGUAUACAUACUUUGAAAAUUUAAACCAUAACAAUUUAAAUUCUAGAAUACUAUUACUCGAAAUUAAUUCAAGCAACUAUUUAUUCUACAAAAUAAAAGAAUUCUUUUUUUUUUUAAGUCUAAAGAAUCGAUUUUAUAAACCUGGGCUCUGAUACUAUACUAUAACGUCCCAAGUUUUAUAAACACUGGAGUGUUACGAAAAACUCAAUUUCCUUUAUAAUAAUUGUGAAACAAUUUAUCCAUAAAGAAAAUUCAUUUUUUUUUCAACCAUAAAUAUCAAUUUAAAAUAAACAAACGAGUCUUUGAACAAAUAAAACUAACAAAUAAUUUAGAAACAUAAAAAAGGACAAAUUAAAUGUUAAAUUUCUUUUUCCUUUCUUCGAUUCAUUUGGCAGUCUGCAUCACCAUCCCGCCACAAUUCCAAUCGAUCCGAACUAAUCUGUAAAAAUUUGUAAGAAUGAGUAUUCGCAAACACCCAGUAAGAUACGUGCAGUUUCCAUAUACAGAUAUAUAACAAGAAAAUCUACAUUUCAUACGCUUUGCUCUUAUGGAGUAUAUCGGUGACCAAGCGACACACCCAUUUUAGGUCCUCUUAUAUCUCGUAGGAUUUCAUUUCUCUUUUUUAGAACUCGAAUGUUCACUAACAAUUCAUGCAUAUUUAAUUGCAUAUAAAAGCAUAUAGAAACGAAAACAACUUGCACAUAUGUAUCUUACCUUGUUUAUUUAAAAGUUACAAAAUGGUUUCUUGUCUUCUAGUUCCCAAAAGUAUCAUCUCUCUCUCUUUUUCUCUCUUACGUGUGUACAACUUUUGGUGUGUAAAUUAUAGAAUUCAUGUAUAGUAUUUAUAGUAAUAAAAAGUAGUUGAGUUAUACUAGAAAAUAUGUACCCUAUUGGAUAAAACCUAGUUUAGGUAUUUGGAUUAUAUUUUAAUAAUAAUUUCAUGGUUAUCCAAAUAGGAUACUAGCUAUCACAUUAAAUUCAAAAUAGGUUAAUAUUAAACUAAAAAUAAUAUUAAAAUUCAAUACCCACCCACACGUUUUGGAGAGAGAAAAUGAAUUGAAUUAUAGUUUACAUAGAGUUCUAUUUAUCCUAUUUUCUUUCAAUUGAGUCUAACUUAAUGUGUUCUUAUUCAAAAUAACUUUUUCUCGAAUCAAAGACUUCUAAUUAAUUAAGACCUAUAAAAUGAGUCCAAUAUCGAUAUACUAAAUCUCGCUCUAACAAUAUCUAAUUAUUUGGAUAAAAUAAAAUAGGAAUUUAAAACAUUUUUCAUUUUAGUCCUCAACUUAAAAAAAUGUAAAUAUAUAAUAUAUAAAAUAAAUAAAUUUUAUUAUAAAAUUUUCGAGACAUUACAAUCUCCCCUCCUUAAAAGAAUUGAAAUUACCUCAAUUAGUUGAAAUAUUUUGGAUACUUGACUUUCAAAUAUUUGUAAUACUUCGCAACAUAAAGCAAGGAAACUAAUAUUCAUGCUAAAAGAAUGAAAUUUCUUUUUAUACCUUGGGUCCAUCGGAGAGGUCGGAAAAGUGAGCAUCGCGUGGCAAGAUUUUUUAUUUUUUUUUAUAAAUUAUAUCAUUACAUCAACAUGUGCUAAAACUUUACAAAGUUAUCCUUUAACUCCUAAGUCUCGUAAAAAUAUUUUAUUAUUAUUAUUUUUAUACACAUCUUCUUCUUCUUCUUCAUAGAUUACUCAAAAAUGGAGCUAAACAUGUAAAUAUGCUUAGUCUAAAACAUGGCAAUAACUCAACUACAAUUUAAAUAUAAACUGUCAUCACUUCAAAAUCCACCCAAAAUAUUAUUAUUUAACAUCAAUUUGAAUUCAAUUUAAAACUAUUAUUUAGUUAUUUAAAACAAUAAUUAAUAUCAAUCCUUAAACAACAGAAUAGAAAAAGGAAAAUCUGAUUUUUUUCCAUGUAUGUAAAAUCUAUCCCGAAACUGAAACUAAAAUUCACUAUAUGUGAGUCUGUGUGGGUGUGUGUGUGGAGACUGUGAUGAAUUUUAAAAAUCAUUUCCUCGAUCAAGAUUUUAAUGGAAAAUUUAGGUGUUCAUUGGGAUUUUAAUUAAAUUUAAUGUAUAGUCAAUAAUUAGUGAAUUUAUAAAGAUUUUAUUAAUAGAGGGAUUUUAAAAGAUUUUGAUGGAUUUCAAACCUAAAAAUAUAUAAUCAAAUCUUUUGAUAUUUCAUCAUAUUUAUUGAGAUUCUUAUGAAAUUUGUGGAAAUCUAUUUAAAUUAACAAAAUUCAUUAGAAUUAUAAAUUUUUAAAAUUCAUCAUAAUCUUAGUUGAGAACACCCCGUUAUAAUUAAAGGAACGAAAUAAAGACUAUUUUUCUUCUGGCAGCAAUAGGGUGGUGUCAAUGCAUUACAAUUGCAUUGGUCCAAAAAUUAUGACAAGGAAUCGAAGUUUUGGUAAAAAACCAGUCGAGAAAAGGUUAAGACAAAAUCGCAAGUUUAGGCAAAGGAUAGAGACCGAAUUUGCAAUUUAUGUUAAACAAAACUUUACUAUAGUUAUAAGAAACUCCCUUUUUGUGAAUUACUGCGUUUAUCCGAGUGAUCCACAAAUGAUGAAAAUUUCUCUUUUGUUUAUCCAUAUCUCGGUGAGCCGAAACCAAAGCUCUUAUUUUCUGUUGAGUGAUAGUUCAAGUAAGUUUUGAAAGAGCCCUCGAAAUUAAACUUGAUGCAAAUAAACGAAUUUUUGUUCUCUGUAUCUAAGCUAUAUAUCAACGUAUAAUUCUAGUCAUUAAUAAAUGUUAAAAAUUUGGACCCAAACAAGUGCUAAAACACAUGAUUCAGUAAGUUAAACACGAAAUAAUCGGAGUCUCACAUCGCUCAUUGAGUGCCACCGACAACCAGGAAUCACUAUUAUCAGGGUUGCUUUGGAAUGGCAUUCGACAAAUAGUUAAUUUUAUAACUAUAUACAUGUUUAUUUGCAUAAUAUAUAAGUCUAUUCUGAUGAAUUAUAUAUUUCAUAAAUUUUCAAUGUAAUAUUAAGUAAUAAUGGAGUAAAAGUGAUUACAUUGUCCUAAUUGAAGAACCAAACUAUAAUACGAUACAAAUAUUCAAUCCCAGCAUAAAAACGAUGGUUCCCCAAUUUAUUUACUUGUGCGAGUGCGUGCGGGGGUGUGUAAAAAGCAUAAAAAAUUAUAAAUGUUUAGUUUAUGGUAGAAAUUGUUGUUCCCAUCACACUGCAUGAAACUCAAAUGGAUUAGAGAUGGCAUUGAGUCGCAACAGCAAAAAGAGGAACUUUUCUAUGGAUUGAAACACCUGGGCGUUCACUCAUAUCCAAAUCCUCUCCUUCUGCUCCAUUAGGCAAUUCCCAGUCAAAUUUCUGAACAAUAUUUGCCAGAACGAGUUCGUUAGUUGCCAUUGCGAACGAGAUUCCUGGACAACCUCUUCGACCAGCCCCAAACGGGAUCAACUGGAAAUCGAGUCCUUUGAAAUCUAUUGACGAAUUUAAGAAUCUCUCCGGCUGAAACUUCUGUGGUUCUUUCCAGUAAAGAGGGUCUUGGCCAAUGGCCCAUGCAUUAGUCAUGACCAUCGUCCCUGCGGCGAUGUCAUAGCCCAUUACAUUGACAUCUUCUCUUGCUUGCCGAGCAACCAGUAGUGGGAUUGGGGUGUGGAAUCGUAGAGUUUCCUUCACUACAGCUUUCAAAUAACGCAUUUUCUCCAAGUCAGCAUCUGUUAUGUCAUGUUUGCCAUUGAGAAUUCCCCUCACCUCAUUUUGCAACUUUUUCAUGACUAUUGGGUGCCUUAAGAGUUCUGUCAUUGCCCACUCUAGAACUGUGGAUGUGGUAUCAGUUCCAGCAGCAAACACAUCCUAAAGUAAUCAAGAAAGUUAAAAAACUUAAGGCUAAGAAAAUUAAUAGUCACUUAGGAACUUGUAGGUAUAAGUUUCCUUCAAUAACAGUUUUAGCUUUUAAAUGAAGUUGUUCGAUUGUAUUACGGUUAUAUGGGAGGGAGGGGUGCUUACCAAAAUCAUGGCUUUGAUACCAUCCCUAUCAAUGGAUACACCAGUGGUAUUGUCCUUGUAAAUCUUAAGCAGAAUGUCUACAAAAUUCUCUCUACUUUCAUCCUUUCCGCUCGAAUUUUCCAUAUCCCGGUGUUCUUGAAUCACUCCUUCAAGAAACUCAUCAAGUUCUUUAGCAACAAAAUCUACUCUGGCAUCGAAACCAUUAACACGAUUAAUCCACGCCAGCCAUGGAAUGAAUUCCCCAACACUGAUAGUCCCCAAAAGUCCCAAAAAUUCAGUAAUCAGCUGCAGAAAUUUCUCCCCAGUCGCCCCGUCCCUGUAUUUCCUACCGAAAGCCGACCUACAUACAACGUCGUUUGUGAUUGCCGUAAAAAAAUCACUCAUAUUCAAUGGAGAUGAAGAAAGACACGAUUCCUUAAUUUUUUCCAUCAUCAAGGCCGUUUCUUCUUCCCUUAUAGCAUGGAAUGAUUGUACCUGUUAUGGACAGAAAUGCACUGUUAGAAAAUCUUAUCAAGUCACUCCAUGCAAUUCUAAACUCUUUAAGUACUCUCAGUUCAUGUACUAUGAGCAUAUUUGGCCUAGAAUAACGUCGUUUUUGCUUAUUUCCGGCUGUAUCAAGAGUGGUAUUGCCGAAAUAAACAGCUUCUUGUACAAAAGGAGCAAGGGUCAAUCAUGUUGUAAGAGGAACGGGAAAUAGUAACAGUACCCUUUUGUUACUCAGAAGCUGGAGUACAAAUAUGCUUUUCAAUUGCCUCCAGUAUUCUCCAUAUGGGGCAACUGACAAAUCCUUCAUGUCGUAAAGAAGCCGCCUGGAAACGCUAGAUUCGGGCCUGUCAGCGAAACUGACAUCAUGGGUUUUCAUAAUUUCCCUGGCGGCGUCCGCCGAUGAAACGAUGAGCGUCGGAACAUUUCCAAAGUGGAGAAGCAUUAAAGGGCCAUAUUUUUUGGACAUGGAUUGAAGGGACUGGUGUGGGAGCGUGCCGAUUUGGUGGAGAUUUCCGAUAAUCGGGAGUUUCGGCGGCGAUGGCGGCAGAUUUUUGCUGUUUGUAGUGGCCGCCACCCUUUUGACGAAUUGCCAUACAAGAAAUAUAGCGAUAAAAGUGAAUAUAAAUGGAUUUUGUAAAAGAAAUUCAGCCAUUUGGUGCUUAAAACUAAACAUACUUUCUGAUUGUCUGUACUCUGUUUUCUGUCCCUAAACUGUACGAGGCUCUUCUAUAUAUACAGACAAGAAUGCGCGUAAUGAGCGCCUGUAACAUAACUUAGUGGUGCAAAGGAUAGGAGUGAGAUUAUCUCACGCCUUGCUGACAGUCGCAGUGUACGGGUUUGAUUCCCGAAACAUGGAAUUGGACUUCUUGUAAGCGCAAUGUAGAAACAGCUUGGAGCACAUCCCGUGAUUUAACUCCCUCACAAAAUUCUAGGGGCGGGGUGAUGGAACCCUCAAGGUUGGGGUUCAACCUUUUUUUUUAGGAAUGCGCAUAAUGAGACUGCAUGCUUACUUUGCUAUACACUAUUACACUAUUUUAAUAUUUUUUUUUACAAUUUUUCAAUUACACAUUUAUCAAAAUCUAUUUAAAAAUUUUGUUUUAAUUCACAAACGGAGACUUAAUAUGCCUUUUAAGCCUAUUUUAUUUAGACUGGUUUGAUGUAAUUUUUUUCUUUAAAAGUAAAAUUUGAAUAAUGUGCUAUUAAAAUGUAAAAAGAAAAAAAAAUUAUUAAUUUAUAUCCAUAUUUUAUUGUGAUAAUGUGUCGUAAAAAAUGAUUAUUAAUUAUAAUAGGUGCCCAAUUUAACUUAUUCUAUUGGGUCAAGCCCCCACUCUAAAAUGUCCACACGUAUUUAUGAAAAAAUUGUCGCAAAAACCUAACGUUGUAUGUUAAGUGGUAAAAGAUGAAUAAAUAGAUAUUUGGGCUAACAGUUUAAUUACACUCAGGCAUGACUUGUAAACAUCGAAUGACAAGUCUAUUUAUACAAUUAUUUUGUACAACAUUAUUCACGGUGUUGUAAUUGUCAAAAAAAAUAUUGAUCGAAAAGAUGAAUUAUUUUUAAAAUUAUCCAAUGUGGCAUAUUGUCAAUAAUGUUGUCAAAAUCAUUAUACAUCAAGCAUGAUUGAACAUCGAAUUGGUGAAUGGCAAUAGAAAUUAAUUUAUCUGAAAAAGUAAACCACUUAUUUUCAAUCACAUAUUUUUGUUAGGUUCCAUUUCUUCUACGAAAAUAUCUUUAUUAGAAAUUUGUCUUACAAAAGGAAGAAAAACUAUGUAUAUUAAUAUUUAUAUAACUUACAAUUUUUUCAAACUUUGUCCAACUAACUAUUUAAGAUUUCGAGUUAGUUCCUGUUUGGUUUUGUUAUCACAUUUUUAUUAGGUUUUGAUAAAGUCUGGACUUGUUAAAAUUAAUUUUUGACCCUAAUUUAAAUUUGUAUUAAUUUUCUAAAAGUAAAUUAAACAUGGACUUAUCAUAGAAAGAUAAGUUCAUUUAUUUAAAUUUCAUCAUCCACACGACCUUCUCUAUUAUUAUUAUUACUGCUGCUGCUACUAAUAUUAUCGCCGUUGUUGUUAUUAUUCGUAUCAAAGAUCUACACAAUUUUUAUAACAAGAAAAUGAUAUUAUGCUUAAUUCUAUUCUUUAAAAACUCAAAUUAUCAAAAAGGAAAUCGUCCAAUUUCUUGAAAAGACAAUAUGUAACAAGAAAGUAGCUAUAGCUUCUUAAAAGUUCAUUAUCAAUUAAUAUUUUCCUAAUUUAACCAAACUAUUAAUUCAUCUAGAAUUAAUGACGAAUGAAUGGCUAGUAACACGCAAAGAGUCCUCUACGUCUAUUACAAUGGAACUAGUCCAUACUUGAUUGCAUUUGAUUAAUAUUAAUAUUUUUAUUUUUAUCAUGAUCGGAUAUGUCGAAAUUGUGGUUUAAAAUCCAAACUUCCCUACCUCUCCUACUGUCGAAAUUGUGGUGUACAAUCACCCCCCGGGGCGUAGUGUAGUGGUGUAAAGGACAGGAGUGAGGUUAUCUCACGUCUUGCUGGAAGCCGCAGUGUAGAGGUUCGAUUCCUGAAACAUGGAAUUGGACUCCUUAUAGGCGCAGUGUACAGGCAGCUCUUGUUCCCUGGCUUGUUGGGGCACAUCCCGUAAUUUACCUUCCUCACAAAAUUCUAGGAGCGGGAUGAGGCGGUGAGAACCCUCAAGAUUGGGGUUCAACCUUUAAAAUUGUGGUGUACAAUCUUUUUGCAAGGGGCUGUACGGGGCAGUACGCAGCAGCCUAAUUCAAUAAAAAUUCCACAUAUGGACAAAGAGUACCAUAAAUCAAGGAGUUGGGGGCCUGAGGUGGUUGGAAAACAAAUAGAAGAGACAUGGGAGUUGGGACCUGAUAUACAAAUUUAUGGAACAUAGACAAAAGGGGACAAAUUAUUUUAUCAGUAUUCUCAAGGAAAUAGGAUGUUGACUGAAUCACAAAUCCCCCAGUUGAUUUUAAGAAUUAAAAUUUCAUCACACGCUUUCUUGGUUGAUAUUUUUCUUAAAUCUUUUGCCACCUAGUGUUUGUUCACUUCUGUGUCCGGACGGCUCAAUUUGCGUCUCAGUUGACUUGAUAGCGUCCCUCUUCGGGCAGCUGCUUCUUUAUUUGUCCGUCCGAACUUUUCUCCAACUAACGGAAAUAAAAAAAGGAGAGGAAGAAAAAUGAAUCGAUUAAGAAACAUUAAAAACACGGACUAGAAUUUGCCAUGCAUUUCAGACUUUAGAUUAAAAUGUUUUAAAUCUUGUAUGAAUCCUUCAAACAUGGAGUGUAGAUGUUAGUUCACAUUUACAUCUAGCCCAUGUUUUGAAAAUUUUUAUUUUUAUUUUUACUUUUAUUAUUAUUAUUUUUCAAAUCUUACGCAUUUUAUGAAAUCUAUAACUAUAAUCAAUUUCUCAAUCAUACAUUUCAUCAUUUUUAUUAAAAAUUUGAUUUUAUUUUAUCUAAACUUGUUAAGUUCGCAAUUAGUUGGGUCAUUUCAUCUCACCUUUCUAUCCUUAAUUUGAACUUACAAGACAGGUCCAUGGCCACCUCUAUCAGCUUACUCCCUGCCCAGAAUCAUUAAGAGCUGGUUUUGCUGAUUCAUUUUCUUUAAGUUACUUAUUUCAUAUAGCCUGUUUAGUACACAUGCGAUCAAUUAUUGACGAGGCGUUAUAUCCCAAAGUAUGAUUUCUCUGGGUGGAAUUUGUGAUGUCAUUUUAUAGAACUUAUCGUUUUUCUAAUUUCUUCUUUAAUCGAGUGUGAGAGAUUAUCUUUUGAUUUACCACAAGCAGAAGAGUAUUUAAUAGCAUAUUAUCAAACUGACAACACCUCAACACAAACUAAUAUUGUCCAAAUCAAGAGGGAAGGGAGAGUAAACAUGCUAUGCCUCGUCCUACGAAACUCUUGUUAUUUACCAUGUGGAAUUCAUUUAGGAAAUAACAAAAGGUCACUUAACGGUCGCACUCCAAAUCACUUUGCUUACGUGGCCUAAUUAACGGAGACUAUCAAGAAAGGAGGAAGGGAAGUGAACUGUCCCUCAGCUAUCUAACCUCCAUGUCCGAAACGAAGCGCCACGCGCAGUUGCAACGCAUUUUCAAAGUAAAGUGCCUUCGUUCUAGAAGGCAUCUUCCAUUGCUUCGUUCAAAAUAUCAAAAAUGAUUGGUGUAAGGAAUUUUUUUUUUUUUACAGAAUGUGUACAAUCUCUCACAAAGAUAUGGGCCCCACAUGAAUAAAUAAUGUUAAAAAAUUAACUCACCCUCCUCCCCCCACCCCCUAUGUGAGGUGUUGGUAAGGGUUCUACUCUGUACACCUAUCAUCACCCUCAAAAGAUCUUUCAUACAAGAACUUUUGUACAAUUGAUUAUUGAUUGAUUUGACAUUUUUGCGCAGACAUUUCUAAAUUAACUUUUCAGCCUACUUUUUAGAUGAUAGAUCUAGACUAUAAGGUGACCAUUUUUAAGAUCAUCUAAUUCACUUCAACCAUAGGACAGUAGAGGUGAUGAUUGUGAGGCUGAUGCAUUGAUCACCAAGACGAGGACAUGUAUCAUUCAUCCAAUGAUAUUGAUAUCUCAUUUUCUAAUAUAAAGCUCACAAUUGGUAUCAUGUGAUUUACAUGUGAUACUAAUUUACACCCUCCACAUUCACUUAGCUUGGUAAUAUUAUUUCUCUUAAAAUUUGAUUAUUGUACACGUGACUCUUGUUCAUUGUCCAUCCUACAUCCAAAUAUAUCCAUAUAGUUGACUAACUUGAUCGUCGUAGUGUCCGUGAUCGUAUCCCCCACCGCUAGAGAAGGACACAUGCACUUAACGAUAUGUCCAAGUAUGCAGGAGUUUGACACAUUUACAAGAAUGAAAUCGAGAUUUAUUGAUCACGCUGUCCAAAAAAAAAUCGAGGUCAACAAAACAUAUAUCCGCAAAUUGUCUUUUUGAGCCCUAUUUUUAGCAAAGAAUGCAUUUUAGAAUAAUAAAUUGAUAGAUAAUGUGCAGUUAAAAAAUUUAAAAAAAAAGUGUGUGUCCAUUUUGCCUUGGUUUUUCUAUGCAUUUUAGUGAUUGCCUUAGUUUUUUGGACUAUUAUUUUUAAAUUAUUUUUCACUUUAUCGAACCAUUGACACUUAUUUGCAAGACAAAUUUUAAUUUUGUUAAUUUGUUUGAUUAUAAACUUUUUAAGAUGGUUUGUGUAUAUUAUGAGCAUAUUUUCGUAUUUUUAAUUAUUCAAUUAGUUGUAUCUAGGCUUACACCUCAUGUCACAUUGGUAAAAGGGAAAAUUUCAUAAAUAAAAGAUUAAUUAUGCACAUUUUAAAAACAAGAAAACAAGUUUCUAAUUUCAAAAAUCAGAAUUUUAUUGAAAUUUAUUUAUAAUUUAAUUAAUUAAUUUAGAAAUUAAAUAUAUUUAAGUCACAGAUUUAUAUAAUUUGAUCACAAGUUAACGAUUUAAUUCGUCACUUAUUAUUUUUUGAUUACAAAUUAUAAAUUUUAUGUCACAAAUUAUUUUACGGUCACAAUUCAAAAAUUUUAAAGGUCACAAUUUUUUCAUCGAUCACAAAUCGAAAAAUUUAUAAGUCGCGAUUUAUUUAUUGAUCACAAAUCACAUAUACUACAAGUCACAACUUAUUACACACUCACAAAUUAUCAAAUUAUCAGUCAAAUUUUUUAAGUCACACAUUAUUUUUCGAUCACAAUUUAUCUUUUACAUUGAACAUAUAUUAUUUAUUGAUUACAGAUUAACCAAUUUAAUGGUUAUAGUCAACCAAAUAAUUUGUGACCACCACCAACACUUAUGAUUCAUAGUUACAAUUUUUAAGUCAGGUAUCCAAUUUUGAGUCACAGUCAUAAUUUUCGGGUUACAUAUCCAAUUGUGAAUUACAAUUGAGAGUCAUGAUCACAGUAACAAUUUUCAUCGUUACCACGGUCGUCGCCACACACCAAUACCAUAGUUGGGAGUCACAGUCACAGUCCACAACCACCCCAACCGUCCCAAAUCAUCGCCACCACCGUCCCCGCCACACACCAACACCACACUCUUCCAUAUCCAUCACUCUUCCACAUAUGGCCAACAGAUUCACAACACCACACACCUCCACAGAUUGCCACCGUCGUCGCCACACAAACACCUCCACCAGAUCCCUGCCACUUACCAUCACUAUCACCAUUACCGCCACCACCACUACCAUUUGCACCACCACAAGCAUCACCACCACCACCAUCACACUACCAUUUGUAAAAUCAUAUCCACCUACACCCAGCCAAUUAGGAACUCGCAAUCGGUCACCCCAUUCCACCGCAAACAUUCUUCACCUCAUCGACACCCGCUCCUACACAGAUCUGUCAUCCUCAUCAACAAUCCCAUCAACACACCUCGCUGGCCUGCCGCUCCAAUAUUCUUCAAAUCGUCGGCAGCCACUUGCCCAACCAACCACUACACAACGUUGCCACUAGAUCCACCACAACCUGUAGGACCAACUGUAGAGCAACCAUCAUCAUUGACCUCGUCGAAUCCGCUCUCGACCUUCCCAUUGCGAGCUACGACGGCACAGCAAUAGUGAUGUCGCUUCACAUCGUGCACUGCUACUCGUUGUCGCGGCACUCACACAAGAGGAGUUUUUGCAGCAGCAUCCCCGACGGUGACGAUCUGAUGAUAGAGACGAGUGGUGGAGAGUGAUGGGAGAGGAGAUAAUGAUUUGGCCGGCUGCCGAUGUUUGAAAAGUAGAGAGGAAUAGAGAGGGACAAGUAGGCGACCGUAGAGAGGGGGGGAAUGCAAAUUAAUUAGAGUUGGAUAAUUUUGAAUAUUAAUUUUUAAAUAUAUUAAUUAAUUAAAUUUUUUUUAUUUGUGAAAUACUAAACAUGGCAUCUUAUUUAUGAAAUGAGAAUUUUUAAUCUGUUAGAAUCUGUAAUUUCCACUUGGUAAAAUGCUUCUCUACCGAAUUUAGGCUUUUCGAAAAGUUGAAUAUAAUUAUUUAAUACUUUUAUUUCGCACCCAUUUAUCAAUUAAACCUUACCAUAAAUAAAAAUCUCUUGAUUUAGUCUCCUAGCAAUUCAAUUUAUUGAAAACCUACAUAAAAUUGUCAUCUUUCAAAAACUCACAUACUAAACCAACACUUUCCGGAACGAGUUAAGUAAUAGCCAUAAAAGAAGCAACUCUAUGCAAUGUUACGUGUGAAUAUGGUACAUUAUCACAUUGCUCCAAGUAAAUUCACAGCUUGGAAUGGUUGUUAACAAAAUUUAAAGUACAUAAAUUUGUCUUGUCUAUAAUGACUUAAGCUUUACAAUACGAUAGACGACUACUAAUCAACUAUUAUCAGGGCUAUUUGGUGGUGUUGGUACAAAACUACUUAUAUGAGUGACAUCAUGAGUCCAUGCCAUUUUAAAUUAAUAACAUUAUUAUUAUUUUAUUCAUGUGUGAUGGUCUAUUAAUGAGCACCAUUUAUUUUAUAAAUCUUCGCAAGAGCUCUGCUACCUGGAGUGUUGCUUCGUGGACAGGGAUGGGGACAGGGUUUGGGGGACGCCCCCUAUUGGAGGGGUGCCUGUUCCGACGAAGCAACACUUCUGCUACCUAUGCUUAUCUGUAGAGGAAGUUUGACAGUGUCAACUGAUUUGAAUUUCUAAAAUUCAAGUAGACCUGUAUAGAUUAUCUAUACAAGAAGAAUAAUUCACCUUCACAAUUAGAUAGCAGUACUAAGCGGUGACUGAAUAAAACUUACACUUUUCUUAUUAUUACAAAACCAAACACUAUUUAUUUCUUAUUACACUACAAUCUAAUGAUGCCUGAAAACUAGGGUUAGACAAAACUCCCGAACCGAACUGAUCGAACCAAACCUGAACCGAACCCGAUGGUUCUUUUCAAGUUAAAUACCUGAACGGGUAUUUGAAUCAAGAACUGAAGGGUAUGGUUCAGUUCUCGGUUCUAGGCCAAGACCCGAAGAACCGAAUAAAAAUCGAAUCUCCGUACUUUUUUUAAUUAAUUUAUUUUAAAUAAGUAAUAUUAUUUUAUUUUUACUAAAUAAAUUUGUUAACUAGUUAAUUUAAUUCAAACCACAAAAUAUGAUUUUCCUAUUUCUAAUUUUCAGUUCAAAAUAAACUUAAUCAAAUUGACCUCAAUUUUAUCCAAAUCUGUUAUUCUACUGUAGUGUCAUUUCUACCAGAGAAAAUCGAAUUAAAGCUCUACAAUAUCUCUCUUAAUUAUUUUGAGCUCGCUAUCUUUUUCUUUCUGUGAUUUUAAUAAUCAAAUUUAUGAAGAAUUCAGCGAAGAGAGACGUGAAACACAUAAGAUUAAACUACGUAAUUUUGUAAGAGCUAAUAUUGAACAUAUCAUUAAUUAAAUUAACAUAACUUUGUAUAUAUUUAAAAAUUUAAUUAUAAUACGGAACCGAAUGUAACCGAACCGAACCGACCCGAAUGGAACCGAACUCGAACGGUUCCACUUACUAAAUAUCCGAAUAUUUCAGAUCAGUUCGAUUCUCAUUAGAACGGAACUGAACCGGACCAUGUCUAGCCCUACUGAAAACCAGCUAUGGUUAGAAAUAACAUUUAGUUGCAAACUUUUCUAUGGACUGAAACACCUGGGCUUUCACUCAUGUCCAAAUCCUCUCCUUUUGCUCCAUUAGGCAAUUCCCAAUUAUAUUUUAGAAUAAUAUUUGCCAACACAAGUUCGUUAGUUGCCAUUGUGUAAGAGAUCCUUAGACAACCUCUCCGACCAGCCCCAAAAGGGAUCAACUGGAAAUCGAGUCCUUCGAUAUCUUUCUGUGAAUUCAAGAAUCUCUCUGGCCGACGCUUUUUUGGUUCGUCCCAGUAAUUAGGGGCUAGGGAAAUGACCCAUGCAUUGGUCAUGACCAUCGUCCCUACUGCAAUGUCAUAGCCCAUUACAUUGACAUCUUUUCUUGUUUCCCGAGCAAUCACUAAUGGGAUUGUGGUGUGGAAUCGUAGAGUUUCCUUCACUACACUUUCAAAUAAUGCAUUUUUCUAAGUCAGCAUUUGUUAUGUACUGAGAACUCCCCUCACCUUGGUUUGCAACUUUUUCAUGACUCUUGGGUGCCUGAAGAGCUCUGUCAUUUCCCAUUCUAGAACUACGGAUAAAGGGAUUUGUUCCAGGGCAAAGACAUCCUAAAAUAAUCAAGAACGUUGAAAAAUGUAAUCUCUUAAUAUUUAACAUAAAGUUCAUAGCUUUCAAGCAUUUGCACCAAUUUUUUUUGCAGCUAAUUAUAAACAAAUCGUUCUUUAGUACUAUAAUAUUCUUUACCCGAAACAACACUUCAGCGAUUAAAUUAACUAAAAACCCACAAAAGAAGUAACCCAAUACAAUUUAAACUCACAAUAACUUCCAAUUUCAUAAGACCCAUCAAAUAUUACACACGCCCGAAUGAUAAAAUUUUAUGUAUAUGAAUAUAAAAGGAGGCAUAAUUACCUGCUGGGCCUUCAAAAUGGGAAUGGAGAUUUUCCUAUUGGGAAUUUGACGGGUCAUUAGGGUCUGUGUAGAUUUUUUGAGAAAUUGUUGAGAAGAUAAUCUGGGUUUUGCAGUUGAAGACGAUGAUAAUACAUUCAAACUUUCCAAGUACGUAAAAUCUAUCCCGGAACUGAAACUGAAAUUCACUACAUGUGAGUCUGUGUGUGUGUGUGCGCGUGGAGACUGUGACGAAUUUUAAAAAUCAUUUCCUCGAUCAAGAUUUUAAUGGAAAAUUUAGGUGUUCAUUGAGAUUUUAAUUAAAUUUAAUGUAUAGUCAAUCAUUAGUGAAUUUAUAAAGAUUUUAUUAAUAGAGGGAUUUUAAAAGAUUUUGAUGGAUUUCAAACUUAAAAAUAUAUAAUCAAAUCUUUUGAAAUUUCAUCAUAUUUAUUGAGAUUCUUAUGAAAUUUGUGGAAAUCUAUUUAAAUUAACAAAAUUCAUUAGAAUUAUAAGUUUUUAAAAUUCAUCAUCAUCUUAGUUGAGGACACCCCGUUAUAGUUAGAGGGACGAAAUGAAGACUAUUUUUCUUAUGGCAGCAAUAGGGUGGUGUCAAUGCAUUACAGUCCCAUUGGUCCAAAAAUUAUGGCAAGGAAUCAAAGUUUUGGUAAAAAACCAGUCGAGAAAAGGUUAGGACAAGAUCACAAGUUUAGGCAAAGGAUAGAGACCUAAUUUGCAAUUUAUGCUAAACAAAACUUUUCUUGAAUUAUUGGGUCAUGAUUUAGCUGCAGAGUGCUUCUUUUCUUUUUCUCCCUCUCUCUUCACUAUUUCACCGAGGGUUCAAACCCUUGGUUAAAGUCUUACCUCUACUAAUUUAUAAGAAAAUUGUUGCAUCCAGUGAAUAUGUUGAACACCAAAUGAAGCCCAUGUUUGGUUUGGGUAAAAAUUGAUUGUUUUAGUAGAAUUUUAUAAAGAUUGAUGAAAUGCGUGAUUGAAAAUCUGAUUAAAGUGAUGAGCAUCACAAAAUCUGUGAAUAAAAAUGAAUUUGACUAAAAAGCAACUAUCUCUUGUAUAGAUCAUGUAUUGAUAUACUAUAACUAUAAGAUACUCCAUUUUCGUGAAUUACUUCGUUUAUCCGAGUGAUCCACAAAUGAUGAAAAUUUCUCUUUUUUUUAUCCAUAUCUCGGUGAGCCGAAACCAAAGCUCUUGUUUUUUGUUGAGUGAUAGUUGGAGUAAGUUUCAAAUGAGCCCUCGAAAUUAAGCUUGAUGCAAAUAAACGAAUUUUUGUUCUCUGUAUCUAAGCUAUAUAUCAGCGUAUAAUUCUGGUCAUUAAUAAAUGUUAAAAAUUUGGACCCAAACAAGUGCUAAAACACAUGAUUCAGUAAGUUAAACAAGAAAUAAUCGGAGUCUCACAUCGCUCAUUGAGUGCCGCCGACAGCCAGGAAUCACUAUUUGGCUUAACUCUCACUAUUGUCAGGGUUGCUUUGGAAUGGCAUUCGACAACUAGUUAAUUUUAUAACUAUAUGCAUGUUUAUUUGCAUAAUAUAAAAGUCUAUUCUGAUGAAUUAUAUAUUUUAUAAAUUUUCAAUGUAAUAUUAAGUAAUAAUGGAGUAAAAGUGAUUACAUUGUCCUAAUUAAAGAACAAAACACAAUAUUAUUUUUUACUUGUAAACUAUAAUACAUCGCAAUACGAUACAAAUAUUCAAUCCCAACAUAAAAACGAUGGUUCCCCAAUUUAUUUACUUGUGCGAGUGCGUGCGGGGGUGUGUAAAAAGCAUAAAGAAUUAUGAAUGUUUAAUUUGUGGUAGAAACUGCUGUUUCCAUCACGCUGCAUGAAACUCAUAUGGAUUAGAGAUAGCAUUGAGUCACAACAGCAAAAAGAGGAACUUUUCUAUGGAUUGAAAAUCCUCUCCUUUUGCUCCAUUAGGCAAUUCCCAGUCAAAUUUCUGAACAAUAUUUGCCAGAACGAGUUCGUUAGUUGCCAUUGCGAAUGAGAUUCCUGGACAACCUCUUCGAUCAGCCCCAAACGGGAUCAACUGGAAAUCGAGUCCUUUGAAAUCUAUGGACAAAUUUAAGAAUCUCUCCGGCUGAAACUUCUGUGGUUCUUUCCGGUAAAGAGGGUCUUGGCCAAUGGCCCAUGCAUUGGUCAUUGUUGGAAUUAAUUGAAUUUGAUUUGAGUUUGAUUUGGGUUUAAAAUAUUAAAUGUAAUAUUUAAUGAUGUGGGCCAUUGCAAUUAAUUUGGGUGAAUUGGAAAAGUCUCCAAUAUAGGCCCAUAUGUUGAUAAGCCCAUUUUAAGUGUUUUUUAUAUGGAAACGAGUCUCACAUCGAAAGUUUACAAAAAAAUAGUCUUGUUUAUAUAGUGGGUUGUGUGAAUAAUAUAUAAUUUAAUAAGUUACCUACAACUUGGCUAAC
rnacentral:lncRNA from 1 species